CUCCGUCGUGUUGCCGGAUGACCUAGAGCCGAUGUCGAUGCCGAUGUGGGGAUAGUUCGGAUCCCACGCGCCGUUGACGUAGGUGUCGAACUCGACGGCGAAGACCGAGGGGCUGCUGCCGGAGGAGCCGAAGAUUCCGAGGUUGGAUCCGCUAGAGGAGGAAGGGAUGGUGGACCCGACGGGGGCGAUGAAGAAGGCGAGGCCGUCGGCGGCAGAGUUGCCGGGGCCAGGUGUGAUGAUGAAGUUUACGGUGGUUUCAAAGUCGACUUGGCCGCCGGUUUGUGAGAACUGGACCGGGUUCGAGUACAAUACCCGGCCAACUUUGGCGGUCUGUGCGUCGGUGAGGCGGAGGAAGGUGGAGUCCGACGGGAAAUGGGCGUCGCCUUGGUAGGUGAGGUCGGUCGGCUGGUCGCCCCAGAAGUCGUAGGUGAAGGACGUCGAUUGGGACUGCGCCACGUUGGCGGCGGCGAGGAGUAGGGCGACGGAGGAGAGGAGAGGAAUUAGGGUUUGGAGAAGCUUGGCCAUUGCUUAAUUGAUUUGGAUGUGGUGGAUGAUGGUGAUAUGUCUUAAGCUUGCACUCCUAUAUAUACUAGUGUAGUUCAUGCAUGAUAAUGUUGUUUAAUCAUCAUAUAUUUUAUUUCAUUAAAAUGAAUCACCUCGUCCAUUCGAGGUAAAUGAACCAUGUGAUCUUAUGUACUACCAGCCACAUUUUAAUUUGCUCGUUGGAAUAUUAUCUAUAGUUGUAUCUAUUGUAUUUGUAUAAAUGAUUUUUGGAAGGGAACUUAGAAAAAGUUCUUGAUAGGGGCUGUAUUUUUUAAUUUCAAGUGCAAAAUUAAGUUUUGAUAGACAAUUUACUUAUGAUUCAAUUUAACGAUCGGGUUUUCUGAAAAAAAAAAAUUCACACAAAAAAUCGAUUAUUUAAUAAUUUUAUAAGAAAAAAGAAGAAGAAGAAAUUUUCUAUUUAGGAUAUACACGAGCAGAUGAGAUCCUCUGUCCCACUAUUUUGUGUGUACCACCAUGUACCAUUCUUAAUUUAUUUAUUUUAGUAAUUAUUUUUUAUAAAAAUAAAAAUUAUUAUUAUAUUUUUUAUUUUCAUUUAAGUGAGUUACUAGAUUUAUUUGGGGUGAGCACAGGUUAUUUUGGAAAAGGAGAAUAUCUGUAAGAUGAUGUGAAAAUUAUUCAAUAUAAGCACAUAUAGGGGUUGAGUUCUCAAAGGAACUUAAUUAAUAUCCAAUGUGAUUGAUACAUUUCGACUAAAUGGAUGGACUGUGACGCCCCGACCAAAAGUAAAGAGUGAUUGUGAUCGGUGCACAAGGCAUGGAUGAAAAGCGGUUCCUAGUAAUGCUUCGAUACGGAGGAUACAUGAAUGAAUCGAAACACACCAGAAAGAGAGGGAUUCCAUGAGUACGUACGCAGGUAUAUGACUGCAUAUUCGAGGAGCUUAAAUAAUUUUAUUGGUGUUACUCAUAUCAACAAGAUGCAUCUUCUUUUUUGGUGACCAUAUGAAAUAAACUCCAAGGUUAAGCGUGCUUGGCGUAGAGCAACUUGAUGAUUGGUGACCUCCCUAAGAAGUUUAUCAGAAAGCGUGCUAGUAAGAACAAAACAUGCUAGAAAAGACUCAUAUUAGUCUGUGGGGACAGCCGUUAAAUUUGGAUUCGGGUCUUUACAAGUGGCAUUAGAGAUUAACCUCUCACAGUAUGGUGCGGUUCGGGAACGAACCAAGCGGAAGUUGGUACUCAAUAUUCCAUCUAUUGUGAGUUUCUUUGUCUUCUUCAUCUUUCUUUUACUCUGCUGUCGAGUUUCAGAGAGUAAUCAGAUAGGUUUUCAUUCGAGUUGAGUUUCUUGAGUGAUAAACUGUUAAUUGUGAGUUUCAUUCGAUCAUUUGUUGAUUAUAAAUAUCUGCACAUGGAUAUUGGUCAAUUUAGAUACACUGAUCUUCAAAUUGAUUGACGAAUCUUUAGAAUUCAAAAUUUAAAUCAAAUACGCGUGUUCAUAGUUAAUUGGUAAGUACACUUUUUUUUNAUAUAAAUAUAAUUGACUCGAGAUCUCUGCUACUUACGCAUACUUCGCUCGAGACAAAAAUAAAUAAUUGAUCAUUGAGAACUCCGCUACCACACCAUACUCGUGUACUAUUUAUCAUUGUUUAUGAUUAUUAAUAAAGACGUGUCUUUGCCUGAUAAAUUUAAUUUUCAUACUCUUGAUUCUUUUUUGGCCAUAUCAUUUUUUAAAAAAUUGGGAGGGGAAUGGUGGAAAUUGAAUAUGAAAAAUACCAGUCAAAUGAUACAUGUGCACUUUCAAAGACAAAACAUAAAUGUAACCUUCGUUUGUAAAACAUAGAAAUUCUACCAUAUAUUUGUGAUUAUUUUACCUUUAUACGAUCUAUUUAUAUAUAUUUAUUAGAAUUAAUAAAAAUAUACUACAUUCGUCCACGAAAAAGAAUCUCAUUGUGUGCUGGAUGUGAGUCGUAUCGAGAGUGAGAGGGAACACAUUGUCUCCGGUCUCUGCCGUCUUGGCGAGAUCUUCGGCAUUGGCCUGAUCCGGCCGCUGAGGUGGCCGGUAGGUCAUCCAUGGAGUAUGGCUAUAUUCAUACUCGUAUCCCAUUUUGGUUGUAGAACAAGAAGGCGGUGUUGUUGAAAUCGUCGUCGUUGAUAUCCUUUGGAAAACCGGCUGGGAUAGUUUUCGCCAUUAGAGUGAUGUGCGUAGAAGAGAGGAUCUUCCGGCGGUCUUCGCGGAAACCGUUGUCGCGUGUCCAUAGUUCAUGGAUUGAAAAUAUGCAGGUAAAGCACCCGGCGUACUCGGCCAUACAAUUAACUCGCCAUCAUGAGCUAUAAUUCUAUUCGAGUAAGUUCAAUCUCUAAUGAAUUAAUAUAUUUUUAUAAAUAUAUAAUUUGCAAAAUAACCUUAAAAUAAAAUAUGUAAUAAGGGUAAAAUAGGCAAUCCACAUGUUGUGCUCAAUGCUCUUUUUAUAUUACUAGGAGAAAGAUAAUUAAUGUUAUUUUAUCUAAUAAAAUAAAAAAUAUAAAUAUAAUAUUUAUUAUAUUUAAAUUUUUAAUUAACAAUUUUGUUUAUUUAAUUCUCUUAUCUCUUACAAUAUUUUUUUUUAGAAAAUCUAUUAGUUCAUUACUUCGACUAAAUAUAAUUUAUUGGAUAGAUAUAUUUAUUUAUAAGCCUUAUCAAUAGCUAUAGAUAUAUAUUACAUAGAUUUAAUGUAAUAUUUAAUGAAUCAAUAGCUCUUUUCUUUUAUAUUAGUAUAGAUUAUAUAGAUAGAUAUAUAUAGUGCAUGCAUGAUAAUGUUGAUUGAUCAUCGUAACUAUAUAAUUUAUUGCACUAAUAAUGAAUCACGUUCCCACUCGAGGUAUAUAAAAUGAAUCAUGUGACCUUUUCUACUACCCGACACAUUUUGCUCCUUGGAAUAUUAUUUAUAAUUGUGUCUAUUGUAUAGUGCAUGCAUGAUAAUGUUGUUUAAUCAUCAUAAAUCUUCAUGGCUCAUCCACCUCAUCCAAUCGAAGCAUAUAAUGAACCAUGUGAUCAUAUCUACUACCUGACACAUUUUGCUUCUUGGAAUGCUAGCUAUAAUUGUAUCUAUUGUGUGAAUGUAAGCAAAAGGGCGCGCACAAUUUUUUAUUUUUUUUUGGAUAGGUGACUCGCUCAAAAUACCUAUUGAAUUGACUCGUAAUCGCACGAGGUCAUUCUAGCGUAGUAAGCUAACCCAUGUCGUAUCUCACAAGGAAGAUUAAGCAGGACGACUAAUUUUGGAUUAUUUUUAAUCAAAUGUUGGAUAUUUUUUAAUUAGAGUAAAAUUAAAAUAAGUAAAUUAUUGUAUAUUUUCAGAUUCGGAAACUAAUGGCUUUAUUUUAAUUUAAUCAUUUUCAUAUGUCAGUUAUAUUAUGUAAAUGACGUUUUUAGUAACAAACAAAUGACAUUUUAAUCAAUAAAUGAUACUUUUAUCAAUAAUAAAUGAAACCAUAUUAAGGUAAAUAGGGUAAAGGUUAGACUUAACUGUGAAAGCAUCAUGAGUUUUAUGUGUAACAUUUUCGGUGUGAAAAUUGAUGAGUUAAAAAAAAUGCUCCAUAUUGAAUUCGACAUUAGAUGAAUCUACAGUAGAUUUUCAUGCAUGAUCUAAGAGCUGAAAAUGAUUCACGGUCUAUAUUUAUUCUAUCAAAUUCCAUAUCACUUUAAAUCUCAAAUUACAUUUGCACUAUAUAUGAUUAUAUCCUAAAUUAUCAUAAAUAUGAACCGCUUAAAUCUGGCGUCGUUGCACCGCGGACAUCUUGCCGCUGCUUUCUCCCACCAUUGCCCUUGCUGCCCUCAUCUUAGGUGCCAAUUUUUUGCUCGUCGUGCAGAAUUUGAAAGGGGUAAAUUAUUUUUUCAAUUUUUUAUUGCAUUUUGCUGUCUAAGUUGAUUUCUCAAGUAAAGUGGACUUGGGUUUUGUUUCGAUUAUAGCUGAAUUCGAUGGCGCUGUGUGGUUAGAUCUGUAAUUUUGACGUGUUGUUGAAGUGUGCGGGAUUGAAUGUGAUCUGGGAGAAUUUAAGGGUUUUGGGACGUUAGUAUGAUGAUGGUGGGAUUUGAAUGAAUUUGAAUACCAGAUUAUGGUUGAUGUUUAAUUAUGUGAAUCUUGCGAUCUGUGUUGAAAUUAAUGUACAGUAUCUUCGCCUAGCCGGGGGUUCACCAUUUGGUUCCCGACCGUCCUGCUGCCUUCACUCCACACUCAAGUGCCAAUAUCUUCUUCUCGUUUCUCUUCCUUCUUCUUCUCCUCUUAGUACCUGCAAGACAGAAGGAAAAACCAGCAAGUAUAAAGAAAAAUCAGAAAACUUAAAGAAGUAAAGAAAGAAAGAAAACAAAGGAAACUCGAGGUGGGAAAAAGGUGUCCUCGGGACACAGGUGGCUCAGAUUUUUCCCACAGUGGCAACACACUCCGGCAGCUCAAAGACCACGGCACAAAGGGGAAGGGAAGUCAGAUCGGAGCUCAAAUCUGACGAGCACAGCCACCAAUAAUCAGGAAUCCGGUGGACAGGAUUCCGGCGGCUCAGAAAUCCUUCGCUUUAUCACCAAACAGGAAAUCUAAGGUCAGCAAUCCGACAAUAAUGCUAUCAACAGGAGGAAGCUCUCACUUUACGGCCACAACACCGGAAACCAGAACGGAAACCAGAGAACAGAAGGAAUAGCAGAGCCUUCAAGGUUGUGAACAUACUACAGAACUUCCCCCAAUCGAUUGCUUUAUAACCGAGACAGAGAAGGGUCGGGAAGAUGUAGUGGGCUUUGGGAAGGAGGAGGAAGCCAUUAAUGGUGGUGGAGCUCGAGGGAAAGCGAGAUCAGCAGUCGUGAAGACUUAGGGUUUGGGAGGGGAUUUGAGGUGGAGCGGCGGAGGUUGAAAUGAGGGAAAGGCCGAGUGAGAGAGGGAGUAUUUCAGUGGAUAAUGGGCUAGGGUAUUUUUGAGUUAACGGGCUAUAGGUGUCUGGGCCCAAAAGUUGGGCCAGAGAAGGGAUAAAGAGCAUUGGGCCAACAUUCCACAAUUAAGACAAUUAAGAGUAGAAAUUCUUCUUGAUUUGCUAAUUUAUUUAGGAUUAGCGAUAUUAGUUUGGAGUUUUAGAUGUCGAUUGAUUUCGUGAUCUUGAUUUAUGUGAUAAAUGCCUCUCAUCACUAAGAUUUGGAAUAUAUUGGAUAUCUAGGAUAGUGAUAUUAGUUUGGAGUUUUAGAUGUUGAUGUGUCUUUUUAGGCUGCGUUUACUUUGAUGGAUAAAUUUAUAUAUGGAAAAGGAUGGAUAACACAAAUUUAUGCUUUUAAAUGUCUCCUUCCUCUUCCAACAUUUGACACAAAAAGAGAUGCUCGCUAUUUUUUCUUCCUUAUCUUCACUUCAAGGAUGGAUAAUAUUAUCCCUCCAUUUUGGUGUGAUAAUAUUAUCCAUCAUUGAAGUGAAGAUAAGGAAGGAAAAAUAGUAGAGCAUCUCUUUUUGUGUCAAAUGUUGGAAAAGGAAAGAGACAUUUAAAGGCAUGAAUUUGUGUUAUUCAUCAUUUUCCAUAGAUAAAUUUAUCCAUCAAAGUAUACGAAGCCUUAUGUGAUAAAUGCUUUUUUAGGGGGGCCCACGGGCAUGCUGCCCCAUAUGCUAUGGAGUAUGGACCAUGGUGGCUCGGUCACUGCGCUCUCGAUUGCGAAUUAUUUUGCAUUAUCUUUGUUUGUUUUUCUUAUAUUGGGAAAGAAAACAUAGAGUAAUAUAUAUUUUAGAAGUCCAGUUACCAAUGUCGUCAAUCUCGAGUGAAAAUAAAUAUUACCAUAACACAAAAAUGACAAAGCUAUUGAUUAGUGACGAUAUGUUAGAAGUUCAGAUAAACAACACAUUUAUUCUUGUGUAUAUUAUAUUAACGUUUAUUAUAUAUUAUAAAAAGAACAUAUUCUUUCAAAAUUAUCUUGUCUAUUUUUAGAAGUUCAGAUAAACAACACAUUUUCAGAAGAAAUUUAAUAAUCUCUUACGAUUUACAUAUAAUUUUUAAAUAAUUAAUUAUCUCAGUGGUGAUAAAAUAAAAAAACGAAGUAAUUUAUUAUAUACAAAAUAUUAUGAUUUAUGUUUGUAUAUUAUUUGUUUCCAUUAGUGCAUUAUCAUUUCUAAGUAUCUUCUCACUUGUUCACUGAUUCACUAUUGGAUUAACAUGAAUAUACGAAUUUCAUAGUAUACCAACCGUUCGAUAAAAGUCCUCAAAGAAAUCUUCCAUAGAUAACCUUGCAAAAGUACGUGUAUCUAUAUUAAUAGAAUAAGAGCCUAAGGAAUCUUAAAACACAAUUUUUGGAUUGCCUAUUUUACCACUAUUAUAUAUUAUUUUAAAAUUAUUUUACAUAUUAUAUAUUAAUAGGAAUAUAUUAAUUCAUUAGAUAUUACACUAAAUCUAUGUGAUAUAUUUCUAUAGCUAUUGAUAAGGCUUAUAAAUAAAUAUAUAUCCAUCUAAUAAAUUAUCUAAUAAAAGUAAUGAAUUAAUAGAUUUUUUAAAAUAAUAAAUUAUCAAAUAAAAUAACAUUAAUUACACACGUACGUUCUUUCUGCUAGCUAGUUAAAUAAAAAGAAGAAGAAACUGAGACUGAAAAAGGGAGAAUUAAGAUAGUCCAUUAUUAUCGUCUUAUUUUUAGAACUUAAACGAGAGAAAAGUCCAUCGCUAGUCCUAAUUUACAACACAACACAACACAUGAUAAUAAAUUUAAAUCACACAUAUUGCCGGAUGUACCCUUCCUCCUCUUUGCCGGCGGCGGCAUGCACGAGGGUGGACGUGAAAUACCACGAGACGAUGUCGUGCACGGCGUCUUGGCCUCCGGUGGCCGCGGAGAUCCCGACCUGAACCUGCUGAGGAAGAAUGGCGCUCAGGUCGUACACAUAGCUCACCUCGUAUGUUUGCGAGCCGGCGGCGAGGCUCACGCUGAUCAGCUUAGUGGCUUCCAGGUAGUUGAUGCGCGCAGUCACCUGCUGCCCGAGCAACGCGUUGCCGACGUUGGUCACGUUUUUGGAAACAUUAGAUUCGAUGUCGAUCCCGAUAUGGCGAUAGCUAGGAUCCACUCCGGGGUUGGAGAAGACGUCGAAUUCCACGGCGAAGACGGCGGGGCCGACGCCGGAGGAGUUGAAGAUUCCGAAGCAGCCGCCGGUGAAGCCGAGGGGUAAGCCGACGGGGGCGAUGAAGAAGGUCACGCCGUCGGCGGGGUUCGUGUCGCCUGCGUUGGGGGUUACGGCGAACGUCAGGGUGGUCUCGAAGUCGACCUGCGCGCCGGCCUCCCAGAACGUGAUCGGGGCUGAGUACACGGCCCGGCCGACGCUGUACUGGACCGCGCUGCCGGAGCUGGUGGUGUUGGUCAUGCGGAGGAAGGUGGAGUCCGACGGGAAGUGGGCGUCGCCUUGGUAGAGGAGAUCGGUCGGCUGGUCGCCCCAGAAGUCGUACGUGAAGGCUGUCGAUUGGGACUGCAUGCGCCGUGUUGGCGGCGGUGGCGAGGAGGAGGGCGAUGGAGAUUAGGGUUUGGAGAAGCUUGGCCAUGGCUUAAUUGAGUUAGUAGUAUUUGCUUUGGAUGUGGUGUGAUGAUGGUGUAUUGGUGUUAACUCUUGCUCCUAUUUAUGCUAGUAUAGUGCUUGAAUGAAAAUGUUAUUUAAAUUAACAUCAUAUUUUUUAUUACACAAAAAUGACUCACCCCAUCUUCUCGAGAUUAACUGAACUUGUGAUCUCUAAUAAUUUAUAACCUACCACAUUGUAGUUGUUGGAGUAUACUCCCUCUGUCCCGGUUUUAGCACGAGUUUUAAUAAAUUGGUUGAUUGUAUUAUGAGUAGAAUAAGGAUAAUAUUUUUUAUGGAAGUGUUAAAAUAAUUAAAAUUGAGAAAAUGUUUCACCUAUUUUUAUUAAAAAUAGAAAUGAAUUUUAAAAUAUGGGACGACGGCCAGAAAAAGAAAAUAUAUAUGGAUACUAAAAGUUGGGACGGAGUGAGUAUUAUCUAUAGUGGUAUCUAUUGUAUGAGUACAAGAGAUUUACUUGACUUGUUGAGGUAUGGAGAGAUUAUUACAAACCACGUGAAAUUGAGUUCUUGCUCCCACUGUAAAAGCAAUAAAUAUAGGGAAAAGAAAAUUAAUACUUCCUUCGUCCAAGAAAUGAGUACACAUAUUUCUUUUUUAGUCCGUUCAUGAAAUGAGUACUCAUUAAUUUUUCUUUUUAUCAAGUGUACCUCACACAACCCUUUAAUUAAUUAAUACCUUUAAAAAGUGGGUCCCUUAUUCCACUAACACCACACUCAAUCAUUUCUUAAAACCUGUAACGUCCCCAAAUGAGAUUCAUUUCGUGGAUUGAGUAAAUUCUAUACUACAAAUUAAUGGUUCGAAUUCACUUUAAAAAAUAAACUACAAUUAAGAGUCCCUCUCUUAAUUGGAAUUCAUAGACCAUCUGCUUCAGUCGUGCCCGAAGACAGAAAAGGUUUGGAUUGGAAUUCAUAGGUGGCUAGGGAAUAAAAGCAGUGUGGCCUCAAUCAUUGAAGCACACUUCGAUUUGUUCACAAAUCUUGACAAAGGAAAGGAAGGUCGAUUUUUCUAGCGACAGUAUGGGUCUAUACCAUUUGGUUGCUGUGGAAAUGACGUAACGAGAGCAGAUUUGAGGGCAAGACUUGGGAGAUCAAUGACGUGAUCGAAGAAGUGAAAGUGAGGAUGUGGAGUUGGAACAAGAUUUUUGGACUACAUGUUAAAGAGAUUAGCUCUCAAUCUUGGUUUUCUUGUGAAACUCCUCUUGUUUUGUGUAAUUUGGUCGUAUCUCUGGUACCAAACUCUCUCCUAAUAAAAUUUCUUUUCUGAUUAAAAAAAAAAAAAAGAGUCCCUCUCUUAAUCAAGUAGACUGGAUGCGGUAAGAGAGAAAUCACUUCCAACUUAUCGAUUUUACUAGCAACAACUAGAUUUAUACUGAAGCUAAAUUGGAUCAGACUCUAGGAUUCACUAGUCUUUUACUCAAGGUGAGUCGGUUUACGAGUCUCAAACUCAAGGUGAACUAGAAUGUCUGUCAAUACGAACGUUGGGAGUUCGAGGGUUUUUUAGGACAGUAACUUAGAUUGAUUUGGAAAUUAGGACAAUAACUUUCGGACUUGUAAAAAUAGGACUCUAAUUCUUUUUAAGAGUAAAAUAGGACACUAAUUAAUAAGUGUUACAUCCGCAGGACAUUUUUCGGCCAAUUAUCGGCCGAGAAAUGUCCUACUUUUACGACGCUUAUUAAUUAGUGUCCUAUUUUUACAAAUUCGAAAGUUUUGUCUUAAUUUUCAAAUCAACAUAAGUUAUUGUCCUAAAAAAUCCCCUGACUCCGAACGUUGGAACAAGCUCGGCAAUAUACUGCUAUUCAACAUUAAUGGCACUUUGCACUAAAUGAAUUGGUGUCGAAUUAAUACAUCGUCUUGCUGCUCAUAUCUAUAUAAUAAAUGCAUACCUGCACCUCGAUAUUAAUCAAUUUAGAUACACUAAAUCUCGGAUAUACUUAACAAAUGGAUUAAUAAAUGUAUAAAUUUUAGAUUUCAGAAAAUCAAAUACAGGUGUUCAUAAGGAAAUGAUUAAAAACCCGUGUGUCAUUUAGAUAAGAUUAUUAUAGUACAGUUAACGAUGGUGAAAUAUUCUUUUACAUUAGAUAUAAUAGCAUUCCAGAUCUCAAUGGCAUUUUUUGUUAUAACAAAAAAAAAUUGUAUAUGUUCCAUACUAUCCUCAAACUUCAAAUUAUUAUUUUUCUUUAUUUUAAAAUUUGUAUUGGCACAUAUCUGUCAAUUAAUCAAAUUCAUAUCAAAACAAUAAUUCGAAUGAUAUAUUAGUUGGCUAGCUAUAAAUUACAAAUUAUUAGUGAUUAGGCAUGUUUUACACAAAUUAUUAGCCCAAACAACAUUUGAUUGUGUGCAAUGCACACACUUACUAAAAGCAGAUGUGAUCAUCUGUCCCACAAUUUAGUGUGUAUCACCGUGUACCAUUCUUAAUUUGUCUAUUUUAUAAUUAUUUGUUGUAAAAAUAAAAAAAAUAUUGUUAUAUUAUGAACUCUAAUUAAAAUUUAUAACUAAAAAUAAAAAUUAAAAAAAAUUAUAUACCCUAACUUUGAAUUAAUUAACCCAAAUAAUCAAUUAUUAAUUCAAAUAAAUAUAAAAAAUAAUUAUAAACUCUAAUUGAAUGAGUGAACCCUUAUUAAUUAGUUUCUUAUUAUAUUAUAAUAAAUUAAAAUUGAAGAAAAUAUAAUUAUAUAUUAUAAUAAAUUAAGAGUGGUACACGGUGGUACACACUAAAUUGUGGGACAGAUCCAUGUGCACUAAAUUAUAGGUACGGAGGUGCGGAUGCGGGGGCGAUACGAUACGAGUACGGGGAUACGGGUUCUAAAAAAUUAUAGGGUGCGAUUCGGCAAGGAUACAUCUAAUUAUUAAAAUUUUAUGAUAUACUAAUUGUUAGAAAUGGAUAUUGGGCCAAUUCCUCCCUUAAAAGGCCUUAUAAGGGAGAGGGUUACCUCACCAUAUAAAGUGGCUCAUGCCACUAUCUCCAAUCCAAUGUGGGACACUUCAAUACUAAUGCUUAUAAAAUAUAUACAAUUUAAAUUUUCUUAAAUUAAUUAUAUGUAAUUUACAUUUUAUUUUACCCAAAAGUUAAGCAUUUUCAAUUAUAUAAGUUAAUUGAGCAACAAUAUAACGAUUCAAAUAUUAUUAGUCCAAUAUAUAAGUCAUAACUGAAAAUAAAAUUAUCAAAAUAACCUUGUGUAGGCCUUUCGUGCACGAGAUACGUGAAUUUCGCCUAUGGAAUUUGCAAAUCCGGUUUAUUUUUAUAAAUUGUUUUAAAAGAUACGCACUGGUGAAUCGGUGCGAAUCCGACAAGAAUUCGAGAAAUCACACCCUAAAAGAAUCCGAUUCGCCGUACAUCUAAUUUUUGAAGAAUCCGUGCAUCAUAGGUGAGAAGAAACACAAGAGAGUAAAAUGGUACAUAAUGUAGAAAGACUUUUCUCCAAAAUAAAUGUUACAGUCUUCUAAUAGUCGAAAGGCGCAUGAAAAUGCGCAGUUAUUCGAAAGAAAGGAAAGGCUUAUUCAGCCACACAAUGACAUGGAAUUCGAAUUGAAAUUGAAAUUCAGACAAAUCCCAAACACGGUGAUGCAGAGAUCAAGCGGUAACACGAGGAAUGAUCUUAAUACCACCGAUGGUAACUUCGUCGCCGUUAAUGUGGGGAACGAUGGUGACGACAAUGAAAUCAUCAUCAGCAAUAUUGAUGUUCUCAUAGAGCUCCCUCAAGUUCAAGCGAAGGUCGUUGGCGCUUUCCGCAGCCCUAACCCUAUGCGGAAUCUGCGUGAAACUGCCGGCGAACUCGGCCCUGGCGAGGUCCUCUGGCUUGUCGUCUUCGUCAUUCACGAACACAUCGAACCUCACGAGCUUCGAACUAUCGGUGAUUAUGUUCUCCAGCACGAGCACUUCGUCGGCUUUGCCUUUGGUUGGUUUGGGCACCAAAACCCUGUGAGUCUUGUUGAGAGUGAGAGGGAACAGAUUGUCUCCACUCUCUGCCCUCUUGGAGAGAUCUUCGAUAUUCACCGGCACCUCCCUCCGCGGUGGCCGGUAGGCUGUCCACGGAGUUUCGCUGUGUUCAUACACGUAUCCCAUUUUGGUGUGGUCCAAGCAGUCGGCCACCUUGACGCGCACGAGGUUCUUCUUCUCGUCGUAGAACAUGAACGCCGCGUUGUUGAAAUCGUCGGGGUUGGGGACGACGAGGUCGUUGAUAUCCUUGGGGAAAACGGAUGGGAUAGUUUUCCAUAUGGUCCACAUUCUGUCGACGUUAGCGUGAUGUGCGUAGAAGAGAGGGUCUCUUCCGGCGGAGUAGAAGUUCCCCAUGUCUUCGCGGAAAUCGUUGGCGGGGUUUCCGGUCCAGACGUGGACGCCGCCGUGUGAGCCGCCCUCCGACAAUCCUCCCUUGGCGCGUGGCGGGGGCAAGUCCCCGGAAACGUAAGGAUCGCCCAUGAAGUCGAUGGCGGAUUCGACAUCACCAAUCAUUUCCUUGUACAUCUGAGUGAGAUUGUUUUCGAUGAUCGUUACAGGAUCGGUGAUCGGGGGGGUGGUUAUGGCAAGAGCAACGAGGGCCGGGGGGCGAUGCGUUGGGUCGCGGUUGACGUCGUAGAGCGGGGAUUCUUCCCUGUCGAACGGCCUGGGCAUCUGCAUACCCCUAGGGUUGUCCCAGUUCCAGUAGGGCAGGGCGAAAUCGGGAUCUCCGAUGAGUUCGCCCAUGAUCCUCUCGAAGAAAUAGAGGUACCACCUGUGGAAGGGGUGGAUCCAGAAUUUGUCAUUAGGAGGGACUAAAUUUGUUGAAGCAUGACGUCUCAAAUUAUUAGCCAAUUUUUUUUAGCAUUCCAUACAGUUCAUUUUUUUGUCGAACUACAUUCGAUUAAUUCAACAACAAGAACAUUGAAAGCAUAUAAAUACUUACCUCUCAAAAAUUGUUUCAUCUUCUAAGAAGAUAAGCUAAUUUUCAUCAUGGCAGUUCAUAAUUUUAAUUUAACUUGAGGAUUGACUCAAAUUCAACACUGAGAAUCAACUAAGAAAGGAAAGUAGACAAAAAUAACAUAAAUUUAACAAACUAACAUAUCAAAUUUAAAUCACUAUAAAAUAUUAAACAGUUAAAACGUGGAUACUAUAAUUAAUAAAACAAUGUAUUUUAUUAUCUCUUGUAUUUCUUAUCUAUACUAAUAGAAAAAGAGUCUAAGACAGUCUAAGGCACAACUUGUGGAUUGCCUAUUUUACCCUUAUUAUAUAUUUAUUAUUAUAUUUACAAAAUAUAAAUCUAUUUUGAUAAAUAUUUAUUUGUCACUCAAAUCUAUAAAGAAUACUUUAUAUCUAUAGCUAUUGAUAAGGCUUAUAAAUAAAUAUAUUCAUCCACAACGUACGUUCUUUCUGCUAGUAUAUAAUAAAAACAAAAACAAAAAACUCAAAAUUUGGGAGGCGGUCGAUCCGCUGCUAACCUGUGGAAAGGGAAGAAGAUCCAUGAGUUGUGAACCUGGAUAUCGAUGCCGGGGUGGUCCACCUGGUCGUAGGGGCCGUUGCAGUAAGCGCAGUGGAUGUUGGCCUGCUGAGUGAAGCCACGGGGAUCGUCGGGGUCCGUCACGUCCAGUUCCUUCAUCUUCUGGAUGGCCAACUCAUACUUGCGUACGUAUUCCGGUGUCAGCCUGUGCGCCGCCGGCCUAACGCGAGGUUUAGUGAACCUCGGAAGCUUGUAGUCGCUCUGAACGUCGGUGUAGGGCGGGCAGCAGUUGACGUCUAGAGAUAUUACCUCUUGGUUUCGAGUGGUGUAGGCACCUUCGGGGUCGCAGGUGCUCAGGUCAGGAGGCAAAAUCGGAAGCGCCUCAGCUUUGCGGAUGGCGCUGCCUGCGCCGUAUAGACCGCCCAGCCCAAGCAGCAUGUUUCUGCGGUCUAUACGGCCGCUGCCACCGCCACCGCUGCUGCAUGACACCUGAAAGCGGCCGUGGCUCCGCCGGCUGCUGAGCUGGGAGGGCUUGCGAAAUGGGGAGUUGGUGGCGGCGGCGAUCGCCGUGAAUGAAGAUUGAAGGGAAGCCAUGUUUGAGUGAUUGAUUGAUGGUCGUUGUGAUUACCUGGGGAGGCAUGUCUUUAUAUAGCAGAUGUGACACGAGUUUUAAGAAAAAUAAAUUAUCCGUUGAAUAAUUAAAUCGCCAUGUUUCUAUAAUUUAUUCCUAAUGGAUCUAGUCAAACUAAUCGUGCAAUAUUUAAUAAACCACGCAGCAUCAUUUCCGAGACUAAUAAAUGACAUUUUGAACCAGCUAAUCAAUUCCAUAUAAUUAACCAUUUGCGAGGCUGGCUGCCCUUCACUAAAUGGUUGUAUGCACUUGUCUUUGGAAAAGCUGUUUGGCCAUAUUAUGGCCAGUCAUAAUAUGGGAAAAUAUUAUAAAAGUCAUGUAUUUAAUUUUUUAUAUUUAAAAUAAAAAUAGGAUUUUAUUAGUUUUAUUUUUUAUUACAUAUUUUAGCUAUUUUUUUUUAUAAUUUUUCUGAAUUUUUUAGAAAAAUAAAAAAUAAAAUUACAAUGUGAACAAAAUUAUAAAACUAAUAAUGGUAGAGCAGCGGAGGGCACAGGUGAAGGGCAUGGCGGCGGUGUACUUAUUUUAGUCAAGUAAUUAUUAUUGCACGAAAAAAUAAUUAUUAAUAUAAAGAAAGAUAAUGUUUCAAAGACAUUAUCUUUCUUCAUGUCUAUUAAUUUUUCAUCACAAUAAUAAUUACUUCGAAUUAUCCGUGUUUUCAAUCGUGCGACCUGCACCCAGCCCGACCCGACCCGUUUCACCCAUAUAGUCAGUCUCACCCAAGUUUUUGCCUAAAGAUAAGUAUUAAUUAGUUGUGUAUGGUGAUAUGAGUCUUGUUUGUAUAAAUUAGUAGGCCUUUAAUAAUGAAUUGGCCCAUCUCAGGUGGUUUAUAUAAUUUACUCGUAUGGAUCUAAAUACAACUAAUCAUGAAAUAUUUAAUAUACCACGGAGCAUCUUUCUGAUAUACUAUUUAUAUAGUAAUUUAUUCCUAAUGGAUCUAAUCUCUGACUAUUUAAUAAUUAACUCGCCAUCGUUUAAAUAAUUUACUCCUUAUGGAUACACUCAAAGUAAUCGUGCAAUAUUUAAUAUACCACGCAGCAUCAUUUCUCAUACAAUAUUUUGGACCAUCUAACCAAUUACAUAUAAUUAAACCUUUUGCCAGGGUGGCUGUCCCUUCCACUAUAUGGUUGCAUGUAUUGAAUUGAAAUUUUAUUGAGGAAAAAAUGAAAAGAAAAACUAGGAAUUCAUUGAUAGCACGAAGACGCUAAUUAAGGGCUGAGCCUCAUCAAAACCUUUCCGAUAAAAAUCCAGUGAAAAAAACCACCAGCAAAGGAAAAAGAGUACCAGUCUAUUACAAUAAAAAAAUGAAGAACAAACUCAAGACAGGAACAACGAGAAGCACGAGAGGAUGAUAAAACAUCUAACCCGAAAAAAAAGACCCAAACCAAAGGAGCCUGACAAAUCCGGAGCCAGUACCAGCGCACCAGGAAACUGAAAAAGUUCUGGAGAAGCCACUUCGACCCAAGCACGCCAACCAUCCAAAAGAAACGACUACCACACCCACACCUAGGCCAAGAAAUAUAUAAUAUUGUGAAUAGUUCCCAUGGGAUCGAAACAGACCACCAAAACAAGAAAAAACCUCUAAGAGCAGACUACUCAUUGCCUGCCUGCCUAGUAUUCGAUGAAAUACCCAAACCAGAAAUCAUAGCAUAAAGCAAAAACCGCCACAGCUGGGGAGCGAAGAGCAGAAGGCCACCAAUAAGAUACAUUAGGAUUGCGCAAAGUCUGACAAAGAAAUCAGAAAACUUACCAGACCACUCUAGUUAAUGUAAUCUAUACAUGUCCGCACAUGAAAUUUGGUCAAGUUAGAUACACUAAUCUCAAAUCUAUUUAAUUAACAAAUUGAUUGAUUGAUAUUUUUUUCUGAGAGAAAUUGAUUGAAUAAUUUUUAGACUUCAAAAACUAAUAGUUAAUUGAUUGUUUAGAUAAGAUUAUUAUUACACUUUUAUAUAGAGAUAAUUAGUACUUGAGAUAUGUGCAAUUUACGCAUUCUUCUCUCGAGACAAAAUAAAUAUUAUUGACCAUUGAGAACUCUGCUACCACUACUCCAGUUCUAUUUAUUAUCAGUGUGCCCUCUCGCGCGCUGCACGGGUCACAACAUAUUUGAUUAUUUAAUUUUAGCUGUUUACGCAUACUUCGCUCGAGACAAAAAUAAAAUAAGAUUUAUUGAUCAUUGAGAACUCAGUACCACACCAUACUCGUGUAUACUAUAAUAUUUAUCAUUGUUUAUGAUUAUUACGUGUCUUCGCCGAUAAAUUUAAUAUUCAUUCCUUUAAUUUUUUUCUAUUGACAUUGGAAACUGUCUUGAUUCUUUUUUGGCCAUAUCAUAUAUUUAAAAAAUUGGGAGGGGAACGUGGAAGUUGAAUCUGAAAUAAGAAUCAAAUGAUACAUGUGUACUUUCAAAGAUAAAACGCAAAAUAUAUCAUUUUUUUGUAAAACAUAUAAAUUCUACUAUUUAUGAUUAUUUUAAAUUUAUAUAAUCUAUAUUUGUAUGUAUAUAUAUUCUCCAUUUGUUCAUGAAAAAGAGUCUCAUUGUAUGCUGAAUACGAGUUUUAAUAAAAUGGUUGUAAGUGUGAAAUAAAUGUAUAAUUUGUAAGAGUCUUUACAUUAGAUUAUAUUUUACUCUCUUCGUCCUAUUGAUAAUGACUCACUUUUCUUUUUCGUCUGUCUCAUUGAUAAUUGCAUGUUCCAAAAAAACUGAAACCAUUUGACCUCACAAAAUGUUGUGGGCUCCACUACUUUUUAUCACUUUUAUCCUUUAAUUACUAUUCUUAUUAAUAACCGUGUCGAACAGUAAUGAACUAUUAUCAAUGGGAGGGAGGGAGUAAUAUUUUAAUUUUGUUUGCUGCCACCACCACCACCACCACCACAAUUUAAAAAAAAAAAUCUACGUGAAUAUAGUAAUUAUUAGAACAAAAAAAUAACUAUAAUAAUAAUAUAUUAAUCCGUUAAUUAUCUAUACUAAUAUAAAAAGUGCAUUUGGCACAAAAUAUAUAUUGCCUGUUAUAUCCCUAUUAUAGUAUUUUAUUUGAAGGACAACUUUGUAAAUUAUAUAUUAUAUAUUUAUAAGAAUAUAUUAUUUCAUUAGAUAUUACACUAAAUAUAUUUGAUAUAUAUCUAGAUCUUAUGCUAUAAUUUUUUUUAUAUUAAUUAAUUAUUAUAUAUUGUGAUUUAAUAGAAUUAUACAACUCUAAUAAUUUAUAAAUGUAAAGUUCAGGGAUUGCAUGCAAUGCACACAUUCUAUGCUAGAAAAAAAAUAGAAUUCACUAAGCCGAUGAUAAAUAACACAUACAACGUACUAUUUCUGCUAGUAAAUUAAAAAUCUAUAUGAUUUUAUCUUCUAUCACUACAUUAAUUAAAAUCUAUCUUCCGUUUCAUAUUAACGGUGGUUUUUCAAUAUUUUUUAUAUUAAUUACUACAUAUUGUGAAUUUAUUACAAUUGUUAACCUCUAACAAUUCAUUAAUAUAAAGUUGAUGGAUUGUGUGUCAUGCACAAACUCUCCUGUACUCAUCUAAAAGACUCUAUAUGUGAGAAGAAACCGCAGGAGAGUAAAAUGGUACAUAACAUAGAAUAGAAAGACUUUCACAAAAUAAAUGUUACAUUCUUCCCGUAGUCGGAAGGAGCAUGAAAAUGCGCGGUUAUUCGCAAGAAAGAAAGGCUCACUCAGCCACACAAAACAUGGAAAUCCUAAACACGGUGAUGCAGAGAUCAAGCGGUAACACGCGGGAUGAUCUUAAUACCACCGAUGGUAACAUCGUCGCCAUUAAUGUGGGGAACGAUAGUGACGACAAUGAAAUCAUCAUCAGCAAUAUUAAUGUUCUCAUAGAGUUCCUUCAGGUUCAAGUGAAGGUCGUUGGAGCUUUCCGUGGCCCUAACCCUGUGCGGAAUCUGCGUGAAGCACCCGGCGUACUCGGCCCUAUCGAGCUUCUGUGGCGUGUCGUCUGCAUCAUUCACGAACACAUCGAACCUCACGAGCUUCAAGCUAUCGCAGAUUAUGUCCUCCAGCACCAGCACUUCGUCGGCUUUGCCUUUGGUUGGUUUGGGCACCACAACCCUAUGAGGCUUAUUGAGAGUGAGAGGGAACACAUUGUCUCCGGUCUCCGCCGUCUUGGCGAGAUCUUCGGUAUUGACCGGUUCCGGCCGCUGAGGUGGCCGGCAGGUCAUCCAUGGUGUAUGGCUAUAUUCAUACUCGUAUCCCAUUUUUGUGUGGUCCAAGCAGUCGGCGACCUUAACGCGCACCAGCUUCCUCUUCUCGUUGUAGAACAUGAAGGAGGCGUUGUUGAAGUCGUCGGGGUUGGGGACGACGAGCUCGUUGAUAUCCUUCGGGAAAACGGAUGGGAUCGUUUUCCAUAUAGUCCACAUUCUGUCGACGUUAGCGUGAUGUGCGUAGAAGAGAGGGUCUCUUCCGGCGGAGUAGAAGUUCCCCAUGUCUUCGCGGAAAUUGUUGGCGGGGUUUCCGGUCCAGACAGCCGCCCUCCGACAAUCCUCCCUUGGAGCGUGGCGGGGGCAAGUCUCCGUCAACGUAAGGCUCGCCCAUGAAGUUGGUAGCGGAUUCGACAUCACCAACCAUUUCCUUGUACAGCUGAUUGAGGUUGUUGGAGAUGAUCUGUACGGGAUCGGUGAUCGGGGGGUUGGUUAGGGCAAGAGAAACGAUGGCCGGGGGCCGAUGCGUCGGGUCGCGGUUGACGUCGUAGAGUGGCGACGCGUCCCUGUCGAACAUCGAGGGCAUCUGCAUGCCCCUAGGGUUGUCCCAGUUCCAGUAGGGCAGGGCGAAAUCGAGAUCUCCGAUGAAUUCGCCCAUGAUUCUCUCGAAGAAAUAGAGGUACCACCUGUGUAGGGAUGAAUCCAGAAUUUGUCGUUAGGGGGGCUAAAUCUAAAAGUAUUUGCAGUGGGGGCUCCCGUCCGCAAGACAAUUUUUUUUAACCAUUCCGUAUAGAUUUAAUUGGCUUAACAUUAGAAAUCAGUCACUUACUAUAAAAAAUAGUUGUUCGCAUUCCAUUAAUUCAACAACAAGUACAUUUAAAGCAUAUACAAACCUACCUCUGUGCAAUUUUUUAAAAUAUUAUUUCGACUUCUAAAAGAAUAAACUAAUUUUCAUUGUUAAUUAAUAGUUCAAAAUUUUAGUUUAUCUUGAAGAUUAACUCAAAUUAAAUAUUCAAUAUUACCUAAUUAAACAAAAAUGAGACAAAAAUAACACAAAUUUUUAACAAACUAACCUAGCAAAUCACUGUAAAAUGUUAAGCAAUUCUUUCUUGUAUUUCUUCUAUAUAUUAAAAACAAAAAAAUUAGGGAGGGGGCUUCAGCCCCCGUGGAUCCGCCACUAACCUGUGGAAGGGGAAGAAGAUCCAUGAGUUGUGAACCUGGAUAUCGAUGCCGGGGUGGUCCACCUGGUCGUAGGGGCCGUUGCAGUAAGCGCAGUGGACGUUGGCCUGCUGAGUGAAGCCGCGGGGAUCGUUGGGGUCCGUCACGUCCAGAUCCUUCAUCAUCUGGAUGGCUUUCUCGUACUUGGCUAUGUAUUCCGGUGUCAGCCUGUGCGCCGCCGGCCUCCUGCGAAGCUUUGUGAACGUCGGAAGCGUGUACUCUUCCUCGUCGUCCGUGUAGGGCGGGCAGCAGUUGGCGUCUAGAGAUAUUAUCUCCCCGUUUCUAGAAGUAUAGGCACCUUUGGGAUCACACUUGCUCAGGUCAGGAGGUGAAAUCGGAACCGCCUCAGCUUUGCGGAUGAGGCCGCUUGCGCCGUAUAGACCACCCAGACCAAGCAGCAUGUUUCUGCGGUCUACACGGCCGCCGCCGCCUCCAUCACUGCUGCACGACACCUCAAAGCGGCGCCUCCGCCUGCUGGCGAGCUGGGAGGUGGUGCGGAGGUUGGGGUUGGUCGUGGUCGCCAUCACCAUGAAUGAAGAUUGAAGGGAAGCCAUGCUUGAUUGAUUGAUGCUUGCAUUGCGCUCGAGGCAUGCAUGUCUAUAUAUAGUAGGCGUGGACACGAGUUUUAAGAAAAAUAAUGAUACUUAAUGGGAUUAUUUUCGAAAAUGAAUUAGGAAGAUGUUUUGGAGACGAAAAUAGAAAAUUGACCUUUUGCCAGGCUGCCCUUUCACUAAAUGGUUGUAUGCACUUAUCUUUUUUUUAUCUAUAAAGAGGUAUUUUCUCCAUUUAAAAAACUUAUCGAGGUAAUUAUGAAGACUAUUCAUUUUUAUCGUUGUAAAGUUAAUUAAAUUAUAAAAAUUAAAGUUGAUAAAGUUCUUAUUAAACAUCAUCGCUCUUCUGUCUUUGGACGACAAAAUUAAUUAUUUCAAAUAGAUAAAGAACUUGAUUUUCCGAUAUGGCUUCUCAUACUAAUUAAAUAAUCUAAUCCUAUAAUGUAUUUCAUAUAAAGUUAUCAAAUUAACAAUAUUCUGUGUGAAUUUUUUUGCCUUGAGUGUGUGUAUAGAGGUAGUCAGGGCCGGCCCUGAGGGUGGGCGGGCAUGGGCGACGGCCCAGGGCCCCAAAAAUUUGAGGGCCCAAAAUUUUUAAUAUAUCCUAUUAAUUAUAGAUCUUAUGUAUACUAACAACAUAGUUCAUCUAUUGAUUUUGGGCCCAACAUAAUUUAUUCUCAAAUUUAGAUCUAUACUUAAUAUAGAGAGUUUUCAAUUUGAAAUCAAUUUCAAAGUAAUUUCAAAAUUGAGUGACUAUUUUGUAGUUAUAAUAUUAAUAAAAUUGAAGGUUUAUGUUUAAACUAUAUAUUUUUAUUUUUAUUUUUAUUUUCAUUUUCAUUUUCUUUAACUUCUUAUUUGUUGUUACAUUUCUUUCCAAAAUUGUGAAAUUCAAUUAAUUAUAAAAUAUUUAAUAUGCAUAUCAAAUUAAAGAUCACAAUAAGAGUUUUAAUAUGAUAUAUUUUAUGAAAAAUAUUUGAUUUAAAAUGUAAAAUUUAUGCAUGUUCAAAUAUUAAAGUUUUAUAAAUUUCUCUCACCUCUCUCAUCUUUACGAAUAAAUAUAUUUUUAAUUCUUUUAAAUUAGUAUUUUAUUUUUAAUUUUUUUAACUUAUUUUUUUGUUUUUGUAUUUCAUAAUAUCAAAUUUUAUAAUUGUGAAUUCUUUUUUUAUUUUUUUUAAUAUUCAAUUCAAAUAUAUAUAAUUAAAAUUAAUUUUUUAUUAUAUUUAUAAGUAUAAUAAUUAAAUUAGUAUUAAUUUUAUAUAAAUAGUAAAAACAAAAAAUAUUUCCCGUGCAUGAGAUGCAAAUGGUAGUUGCACCUCGCCGCCGGUAAUAUAUUUAAGUAUAUAAAUUAAUUAAUAUUAACAAGGCGCCCGGUGAUCACCGGAGGCAUCCUUGCCGCUGGUAUUUCUGCCGCUACUUUGAAAAAUACGGCCGUCGGUAAAUCUGGCCGCAAAUUGUGUACGUUUUUUGGUAGUGGUAAUAUAUUAGGGCCCAAUUUUUUAAUUUCGCCCAGGGCCUCAGUUUUGUCAGGACCGGCCCUGGAGGUAGUUAUAGAAUUUAUCUUUUGUGUUCUCAAAGGAACUUAAUUAAGAUCCAAUGUGAUUGAUACAUUUCGACUAAAUGGAUGGGCAAGAUUCUUUUAACGCCCAAUAUUAAUUCCAUCUCAAAUCGGAUCUUAUAUAAUACUGUAUUUUAUAUAUUCUAUAAUGCAUUUUAUAUAUUACGUGUCUAUUAAAUUAACAUUGAUCUUAGGAGUGAUACAAGUUUAAAAAAAAGCUAGCUGUAUAUUUGGUGAGUAGAGAAGGGAUUUCAGAAAUUAGAAAAAAUGGUGAUAGGUAGUGGAAUUAUUUUAAAAAAUGGACUAAAAAGAUGUUUCAUGAACGAACGAAAAUGGCAAAAUAGGAAGAUGAGUCGUGGUCGGAGGAAAUAUUAUAAUGCAUCGUAUCCUUUUUUGGUUCGUAUAAAGAUUUUUAUUUGAUCCUCAUCGAGAACAUGCAUAUUGCGAAUACUUAAUUUAUUUCAAUAUAUAUAUAUUAAUUUAUUGGGAGCAUAUGCUAAAUAAAUUAAAUUAAUCCGAAUCAAAAGCGCUUAAUUAUCACUACAUUACAUGCAUUAUGACAAAAAGCCUGCGGCUAAAGAUCUUCAGUUUAAGUCUAUUGUCAUAUUGUUUUUAAAAUAUUAUUUAUCCAUUCCGCAUAUGGAUUGGUCAGAUUUAGAUACACAAAUCUCAAAUGUAUUUAAUUAACAAAUUGAUUGAUAAAUUUUAGAAUUCAAAAAUUAAAUCAAUCAAAUACGCGUGUCCACAGUCAAUGGAUUGAAAAUAUGCAGGUAUCUAGAUAAGAUAUAUUAUUAUUAUUAUUACACUGUUAACUAUACUGCAGUACACUUUUAUAUAUACAGACAUAAUUAAAAUAUGCAGGUAUCUAGAUAAUAAGAUUAUUAUUACACUAUUAACUAUACUGCAGUACACUUUUAUAUAGAGAUAAUUACUAGAGAUAUGUGCUAUUACCCAUACUUCGCUCGAGACAGAAAUAAAUACGAUUGACCAUUCAAUUAAACACUACGACACCAUACUCGUGCAUGUACUAACGAUCUUAUUAUAAGUGCACCUUCCCGUGCGAUGCACAGGUCAGUAGAAUUGUAAUCGAUAUUGAUGUGAAUAUCAUCAUAUUCGAUUCGUAUUUGUGAAAAUACUCUAAUAUUUGAUUCAGCAUUCGAUUCGAUCACGAAUACUAAAUACGAUCCCAUAUUCGAUUCGAUGUUAUUUUUGAAUUAUUUGAUACAUUUUUUAAAAUUAAUUAAAUAAUUUUUUUACGAAUAUUCGAUUCGUUUUCCAUCAUAUUCAAUUCAAAACUAUUCGAUUUGAAAUUCUGAAGGAAAAAAUAUGUUAAAUAAUAUUCUAAAAAAUAUAGGAUUAUAUCCAAUAUAUUUACCUAAUAAUUAAACACACAAUAAUAAAGUGUUCAAUUCAUAUUGUUUUAUGUCCCGUGGUUUGUUUCUAGGAUUGUGGUAAUAAAGACUGAUUGGAUCAGUCUAGUACAGUUGUUGUUUGAAUUUGUAAUUUUGUGUAACGGCAUUGUCAUCUUGUUGAGAUUAAUAGGAGUUAAUUUGUUUAAUUAAUUAUUCAUGAGUUUCUUAUAAGAUACCUUCCUUCGUUCCGUAAAAAUAGUCAUAAUUUUUCAUUUUAGAACGUCCAUAAAAAAAUAGUGUUAUUCCAUUUAUAAACAAUUUAGAUCCUUACCUUUGGGAUGAGAUAAAAUGAAAUUCCAUUUUAAAUCAUAAACUAGCUAUAUAGGAAGCAUUUUCAGCUCUUGAAUUCAUCUGUUGUUCGAAUUUCAUAGGAAGCAAGUUUUUUUGACUCAUUAUUUUCACAGCGAAUUCAUCAUGUUACACAUACCCUAAAGUGAUAUAUUUACCCUAUUUGAUAACAUGAUAAGUAUAUUUGAAGCGCUCACUAUUUUAUUUGAACUUUAUUAUCGAGUUUAAACGAGUUUUGAAAUAUUGAAUUAAAUUGAAAUAUCCAUGUUGAUCGUUUAAGAAGCAAAUUUUUGGCAUGGGUUUAUAAAAAAUACAUCCUAGCCUCCAUCCCUAAUAAGUGCGGUGUGAAGGAGUGGGCAAUAGUUCUUUAAAAAUAAUUGAGAGAUGUGUAUAAAGUGGAUAAAAUGGCUUACUAGAGCUGAUUUGUUAGGCCUUACUUUCUCUCUGCCCCACUAAAAUAAGCUCAAUUCUUUUGAGAACAUAGAUUAAUAAACUUUCUUUUGAGAAGAAAAUUAAAGUGGUGGCAAAAGUAAUGUGGUCCAUACCAAUUAAGCAAUUUGAGUACAUUUUUUUUUUCACUCAAAAGGAAAACGAGCCUAUUCUAGCGGGACAUUCCAAAAUAGAAAACGAGCAUAUUCUGCUGGGACGAGGGAAUAAUAAAUUGUUUGUGAGAUGAGUAGUUUGUAAAUAUUGUGUGUGAAAGGUGUAUGUCUUAAAUUGAAAAGACCAUACCUGUAUUGUGAUUGUACGGAAAGGUGGAACUGAGCAUCGCGGCGGCGGCGAGGCAGGAGGCGGCGGUGGUGAGGAGAAUCGAGAGAGAGAGAGAAAGAUGCCAGCAGACAGUGACGGAGGGCAGUGGGCGGCCCUUGGCGGCAGCGGAGACGACAAGGUACUGGCUGUGCCAGAAUUAUUUAGUUGCAUAGGAUCCUUCCAAAUGUAAUUACUGAUUCACUGUUGGAUUAACAAGAAUUAAAUUACUUCAUAAUACAGUAUUCCAACUGUUCGAUAAAAGCCCUUAAUGAAAUCUUCCAUAGAUUACUUUGCAAAGUUCAUAAAAUUACUCAAAAGCAUUGUUGCAUAGUCCGUACAUAGAGAUGGUCGAUUAUCUUAAUUAUGUCUAGAUUUAUUUACGACACACACACACACACAUCACAAAAUCACACAUACUGACUAAUAAGGUUCCCGAAAGCCGGCAUUAUUAGGCGCCAUGGUGGCCGUGAAAUACCAUGAGACGAUAUCAUGGGUGGUGGGUCCGUCUAGUCUGGUGGCGGCGGAGAGCCCUACCUGAACCUGCUAAGGAAGAAAGCCGCUCAAAUCAUACUCAUAGCUGACUUCAAACGUCUUCGAGCCGGCGGUGGCACGGACGGCGAUCUACUUUGUGGAGGCGGCGUAGUUGAUCCUCGCCGUCACCUGCUGCUCGAGUAUGGAGCCGUCGACCUCCGUCGUGUUUCGGGAUGACCUAGACCCGAUGUCGAUGCCGAUGUGGGGAUAGUUCGGAUCCCACGCGCUGUUGACGUAGGUGUCGAACUCGACGGCAAAUACCGAGGGGUUGCUGCCGGAGGAGCCGAAGAUUCCGAGGUUGGCCCCGCUGGAGCCGGUGGGGAUGGUGGAGCGGCGAGAUUGGUGAUGCUGGGUGUGGUGAUGAAGUUUACGGUGGUUUCAAAGUCGACUUGGCCACCGGCUUGGGAGAAUUGGACCGGGUUCGUGUACAAGACCCGGCCGACACUACCGAUCUGCGGUCGCCUUGGUAGGUGAGGUCGGUCGGCUGGUUGUCCCAGAAGUUAUAGGCGAAGGCCGUUGAUCGGGACUUCGCCCUGUUGGUGGCGACGGCGAGAAGAAGGGCGAUGGAGAUUAGGGUUUGGAGAAGGUUGGCCAUGGCUUAGUUGUGCAGUGAAUGAUGUCUACUACUUGCUCCUAUUUAUAAUGAUCGAAAAUAUCUACUACUUACCUACCACAGAUCCACAUCAGGGGCCCUGGAUGGGGUGGUCGACUACAUAAGCCCAAAAAAAUAAGGGCUCGGAAAAUAUAUAGAUCCAUGUAAGUAUUAUAUAUAUGUAUAAAAUAAUUAAAAGCCAACUAAUGAUUGAAUUGAUUAACUUGGCGCAGUGGAAAAAGGACAUUUUUAAUUCCUCUUAAUUACCAAUAUUUUAUUUAGUGACCAAUUUUUUUGUUUAGAUAUAGGGCCCAGCCCCUAUUUUGAUAAAUUAAGUGUAUGUAUUUCAAAUUAACAUUAUUUUAAGUUGUCGAAUUUUUUUGUUAAGAUUUAGGGUCCAGCCCCUAUUUUGUUAAAUUAACUUUAUUUUAAGUGAAUGACAUAAUUAUUAAUAUAUUUAUUAAUUAUUAUGUAAUUUGAUAAAAAAAUGUUUUAAAUAAUUUUAGUUUAUAAUUAAUUUAUUUCUCAAUUAUAAAUAAAUGGCCUAAAUUAAAAAAUUCGCAAAGGGCCUAUGUUCUCUUAGCCCUACCCUUGCACUGUUGCACAUGGUAUAUAUAUCUAUUCUAUGAAUAUAAGUGAUUAUUUUAUAAACCACGUGAAAGCACUUGUUCCCACUAGCACUAUAAAAGCAAUAAAUACAACGGAAAGAAAAUAAAUUACAAUUGAAUACAUUAGGAGAAAAAUUACUUCUAACCUAUGGAAUUACUAACAACGAUACUUAUACCAAAGCUAAAUUGGACCAACUAACUGUACACUCUUGUAUUAUAUCAACCUACCAGACCUUAGUAUUCACGAGUCUCCCACAGUCUAGACUGAUUCACAAUAUAUACCAACAUUGGAACAAGUUCAGUAAUACACUCUAUUUAUAUAUAUUAUUAUAUACACAAAAAUGCAUGGCUGCUGUGGUAUUACGGAAGGAUCGAGAAUUACUCGAUCCUUGGGAAAAGGUUCAAAUGAAACCUUUAUUAUUACUCUCCGUCCCCCAAAUAAUAUCAUAUCCGAUUUGGGAUAUUACCCCACCACUAAUAAUACUUUAUUUAUUCUAACUUCUCAAUCUUUCACCAUUCUCAAUACUAAUUAUAACACAUUUUCAUCACUUUCAAUACUAAUUAUAAUUUCUUUUCUCCACUGCUAAUACGUACACUUAACAAUUUUUCCUUAAAACCAGUGUCGUCCCCUACUAAGAAGUUAUUUGGGGGACGUAGGGAGUAUUUUUUAAUGAUAUGGCAUCCAAAUAUGUUGUGACAAUCCAGUGAGCAAUAUCAACUUUUUGGAGCUGAAAACCGAUGUGAGGUACAACUAAUACACAAUAUGUUGUGGCAAUCCAGUAAUAUACCCUAAGGAUGCGUCAUCUUUUGUUGUAAAUUUAUCAUGGAAAAAUGAGGGAUAAACAAAAUUUCACCCAUUAAAUCCUUCAUUUUUUCCCUCAUUUCUUACAAAAUAGAAUUUGACCCUUACUCAUUUCUCAUUUUCACUGCAAAGGGGGGCUAAUAUUAUCUCUCUAUUUUUGGUAUAAUGAAGAAUUUGAUACGUAAUUACAAUUAAUUAUAAUGAAGUGUGUAUUUUAGUUGCUCAUAUUCUUGGAUUAUUUAUGCUUUAAUGAAACGAUCCACUGCCUUUAACAUUUUGGCAUUUUAAAGUAAACGCCGAAAUGCAACGAUCCACUGCCUUUUAAGUAAACACCCUUGCUAACCCCUGCAUGCGUUUUUUCAUCAAACACUUGGGUUCAUUCUUUUAGGCAUUUUAUCAAACAGUUGUGCUCAGCCUCAUCCUUUUGAUCACAUUCCCAUAUCUCUCCUUAUAUGAAACCGCAUUUUCUAUUUCUCAUAUAUUUCCUAUAUAAUAUUUCCAUCAUUUCUAGCUCAACAAUAAUUCUUCUAGCAAAAUUAUCAUUUCAAAUGCACUCUUUUCCUUUUCUACUUUCUCUUCUGCAUAACAGAAAUACUAAUCCACCAUAAAAUAAUCAUAACUUUUUCUUAAUGAUACGAUGAGGGCACAAAGUUGAGAUGAUAAAAUCAUACAUAUUGGCGAAUGUUGCCGCCGGCUUCCUCUGACUUUUGGAUGCUGAGGGGAGGGGUGGCGGUGAAAUACCAGGAGUUGAUGAUGAAUUUGAUGGUUGUUUCCAUGUCCACCUGCCGCAGAGACCGAGAUACGAUUUUAGAAACAAACGGCAAAAUUACAAUUUCACAUAUAAAAAAUAAAAGACAAUUAAUAAAGCGCAUAAUAUUGGUAAGAUGCUUCCAACCAAUAGGUCGGGAUUGUAUAUCGUGUGAGUGUGUUUUUCAUUUUUUAGUAAUAACAUGUCGUGCUCGGGGCUUUUUUCCGUAUCUGCCCCUGCUUCCCGUCGUCGUGCCCGACUCGUCGGUUUUUGUCAUGCGGAGGUAGGUGGUGGCGUCGGUGAAGUUGGCGUCGCCUUCCAAGCGUAGGCCUUCCGAAUGUGGCGGCUUUUGGUAGAAGUCGUAGGUGAAGGAGACUGCAUCGCCGACCGACACGGUGGCGAGGAGGAGGGCGAUGGAGGAGAGGAGAGGAAUUAAGGUUUGGAGAAGGUUGGCCAAUUUGAUUAAAUGUAUUUGGAUGUAGUGGAUGAUGGUGUAUCGAUCUCUUGCUCCUAUUUAUAGUUGUAAAUAUAUAUUAAUAAUGGUAUCAUUCAAUCAUUAUACUUUAGGCCGGCCGGGCCGGAUCCUCUAUUCCAAAUUCUAUGUCUCAUUGUUCAUAUUCACUAUUAAUUUCACUAUUUCAAUAAUUAAAAAAAUUCAUAGAGUUUGGGGCAGAGGAUCCCGUUUGAAUCCCACAUGGAUCCUCUGUCCCAUAACUUAUUGUGUUCCUUCCCAUUAUUAAUCUCGAUAUUAUAUUUCUACUUUGGAGUUAAUUCAUUAUAAACCCAUGAAAGAUCAGACGAAAUUCAUCCAAUAAACAUUUAUAAAUUUAUAUUUAAAUUUUGUUUCGCGGGUAUCUGAUAGAUAAUAGGUAUUCGUGGGUGGCGAAUUUGGGUAGCAUUUGAUAUUCAUAGAUAGUUUCAUGAUUAAAAUCCAAUAUUCAUUUAGUUCACGGGUAUGGUAUGACAGCCACUAUCUGUGUACGUCAUACCUGAUUGCCAGUAUGACAAAUAUAAAAGUUGUGAGAUGCACAGCAGCUUAAUUAUUCAAAUAGAAAUAUCAUCACAUGUGCAUUGAUAUUUCACAAAAUAAAUACUACUACUAAUAAAUACUCCCUCCGUCCACCAAAGAUAUGCCACUUUACUUUCGGUACGAGUUUUAAUAAAAUGUGAGUGAAGUUGGUAGUGGAGUAAGGGUCCCACUUUAAAUGUGAGUGGAAUGGUAUGGACCUUACUACUAAAAAUGGAUGUGGCAUAUUUUUCGUGGACGAACGAGAAAGAAAAUUGUGGCAUAUCUUUGGUGGACGGAGGGAGUAGUACUCAUUGAUAAUGCAUGCCAACACAUGGUUCUUGCAAGUCAUAUAUAUACCUCAUCAGCAAUAUAGUAAAAUGAUGAUUUGACAACCAGAUUAAGACACCAAUUAUUCUUGUCGGGACACAGACAUAUAUGCAUAUAGAAUUAAUAUUAUUUACUAUUUCGUUUAUACACGUGAAUUAUGCUUUGGAUGCAACAUCGCCACGUCUCUUUCAUUUAUACUUCUCUAGUGUAUUGCGGACAAAAUAGUUAGUGUCUUUAAGAAAUUAAAAAUUUUCAAAUACAUAAGAAAGAAUAAUUAAUCUAAUUGGUGCGCCGGCAACUAAAACUUUUUUCAAUUCACUUUAUAUUUUAUAUACUCCCUCCGUCCACGAUUUAAUGCCCCAUUUUAGUGUGGGCACGGAGACUAAGAAAACUGAAAAAGGUGAUGUGAAUGAAAUAUAAGGGUAGUUGACUAAAGUGAUAAAGAUGCUGUGAGUGGGUUCACUAGUGAUAAAGUAUAGGAAAUAUAGAAUAUAAAAAUGAUAAAGGUGUUUUAAGUUGGGUCCAUUAGUGGCAAAGAGUAAUAAAUAUAGAAAAAGAAGAGUAAAAAAGUACAAAAAGCAUAAUAGGGCUUUAAUUUGUGGACAAAAAAUUAAGAGCAAGUAGGGCUUUAAAUUGUGGACGGAGGGAGUAUUUAACAUUACAAGUCAAUUGCUUGCAGAAUUUGAGCUUGUCUCCCGUGAUGGAGACCUCACCAUGCGGCAACCCGUGCCUGCGCCUGCCUUUUUUCUUCCCGUCUUGCUCUAUCCAGAUAUUAUACGUGAUCCAACUCUUUCCAGAUAUUAUACGUAAAUGAUAAUUUUACUAACAAAAAUUACACUUUUUAUCAAUAACAAAUGAAACUAUGCAUACAAAACAGGAGGUAAAUGAUAUUUUUCUUAAUAACAACUGAUACUUUUUCAAUGCAAAUAAUACUUCGCAAAUGAUAUUUUAAUAUAAAAGUAAAUGAUACUUUGUAUAAAAAUAAAUGUUAUAUUACAAAUGACACUUUUAAUGCAUACCAAUGACACUUUUAAUAACAAAAAUUGAGAAAAAAAAAUUAGAAUUCGGCCUUAAUUAAAAUUUGGACAACAUUUAUUUGGGCAAAGAAGAAAAACACCUGAAUUUUUUUUUUUCCUUUUUUGAGAGAGAAAAACUCAUGAAAUUUCAUGCAAAAGGUAAUGCAUAGCCAACCGGGCUCAAUCAUCUUUCGGCGGUUUUGGUUUGAUUCUUCCAACAUCUAGGGUAGCAUUCACACAAAAUCAACUCGUGUUCAAAAAUCUGAAAUUAAAAUUAACGAUGUGUCUCAGUAUAGAGAUAAGAACAUACCCCUCAAAUGGUUCGAGCCAAGGUCUAAUUCCUUCAGCAGUGUGAUAUUCCAAAUUUGAGUAGGCAUAUAUCCGCCAAAGUUGUUGUCUGACAAGCGAAUACUCUCAAGUUGUGGACAUUGGUACAAACUCGAUGGUAUAUCUCCUUCCAAAUUGUUAAAGGAUAGGUUCACUAGUUUAAGUCUUUGAAGGUUAUUGUACGUGCNUAGACAACAAGAAAUAUCUAUUGUCUAUUCUAUGACAAAAAAAUUAAAAAAUUCUAAUAUAUCUGCAUCCCUGUAUUACAAUACCAAUAUAUAUGAAAAAAUAAAAAUAAUUAAAAAUCAAAUAAUCAAACAAUACUUAUAAACCACUAAUACUCACAAUCAAAUAUUUACACAUCAGUGUAAAUAUUGGGUUCGAGUCCUCUGCGUGUGUUGAUCAAGCGGUAAGGGGUUAAUGCCUAAGGUCAAAGGUCUGGGAUUCGAGUCCCCUGUGGUGUAGCCUUUUAAUUUCGUUAUUUAAUAUUGUAAAUUUAUAAAAAAAAAAAAGUAUAUUUACACAUCAACAAUUGUAUUAUCUUUAAUACGCCUUCAUUCAUCUAAUAAAAAAAAUCUCUAAUAAAAUCUCCAACUAACUCCGGUCAUGAUCAUCUCUUGAAGGCGGAGGAAGGUGGAGUCCGUCGGGAAAUGGGUACUGCCUUGAUAGAUGAGAUCUUUCGGCUGGUCGCCCCAGAAGUCGUAGGUGAAGGACGUCGUUUGGGACAACGCCGUGUUGGAAACGGAGAGGAGGAGGACGAUGGAGGAGAGGAGAGGAGUUAAGGUUUGAAGAAGCUGGUUGGCCAUGGCUUAAUUGAUUUAGAUUUAGAGAUGUGGUGGAUGAUGGUGGUAUCGAUCUCUUGCACCUAUUUAUACUAGUAUGGUUCAUGCCUGUUAAUAAUUGUAUAUAUCAAUCAUCGUGCAUCUAUCCCAAAUUAUAUGUCUUAUUAUUCACUAAUUAGAUGGAUUAAAUCCUGAUUAGUAACCAUAAAAUUAAACUGUCAAUGAGGCCUUGCUCUAGUGGCAAAGCUGUGACACCGAAUAACUUUUCUUUGUGAAAUGUCUUGGGUUCAAUCUCGCCUGCAUGCGGUGAUGUGUGUCCAUUUUAGGUGGUGUGGUAUUCUUGUCUGCGUGCGGUGUUGUAUUGUUUAGUGUUGAGGUCCCACAUGCAGAGCGUUCUUGCCUGUGUACGUGUCACAGCCCAAAACCAUUUAUUUUCUUUACAAAUUUUAUAUAUGAAAAUUAUUUAAUUUUUAAGUUAUAGAGUUUUUGAAAUAUAUAUAGUAUCAAUUUUAUGUUAACUUAGUCGUGUCCCUAAUUAAAAGAAUGACUUUAAAAUAAAACUUAAGCCUUAAAAAUUUAAUCUACAUUCAUAUAUAACUGAAAUUACAUGCAUGUCUAAAUAUUAUUUAUAAUUAUCAAUAACAAGAUUAAUGAUUCUAUAUCUCUAUGUUUAUACAUGUAUUCACGUAUGACAUAGUAUAUAUUAGCUAUUAAGUUAAAAACUAAUAAAAUACUACACUUUUGCAUAGGAUAUAUAUUUAAUUAGUAGUAGGAUAGGACACGUGUAUUAAUUUUAAGGGCAAGUAAUCAAACUUUUGAAUGAUUCAUCAUGCUUAAAAAAAAAAGAGACCUAGAUAGAUGAUUCAUCAGAUUCAAAAACAAGUAUAAAUAGACUUCGGGUUUGAAAUUUUAAUUAAUUUGCAACAACAAUUCAAACUGACUGUAUUAAGGUAAGUAGUUACAGAUUUCAUACACAUAUUAUAUGAUUUCGCACACAUAUUAAGGUAAGUAUAUAUAAAUAUUUUUUAAAAUCAUAUAUUAUAUAAUAAUUAUAUUUAAGUUUUAUAUUAUUCUUUAUAAACUAUUGUUUCAUUCUAUAUAAUUAGGUGUGGCACGACUAGGACGUAACUUUCUAUUGAAUUUCUCAAGUUAAUCUUAGAGUUCAAGUUUCAGGUGUGAGAUUUAUUUAAAUACAUGUCGUACGUGGUUAUUUAUUGUCCAUUUUAAUAAGAUGUGUUUACCAUAUGUGUUAUGACGCAUAUUUUUAGGAUAUCACUAGGUGCCCAUAAAUAGGAUCCAGGACUUCACCGUCCUUGGAUUGCCACAAUGCGAUUUGAGGUUUAUUUUGAGGAUGUCGUUAGGGGCCCGUACAUAGGGUCCAGGACUUUAAUAGUCAUUGGGUUGCCAUAGUGCAAAUAUUGAGGAUAUAUAUGAAGUGACCGUAUGUGUUACCGUUUCAUUAACGUGGACAAUGAUUGCAUGUUUAAGAGACAAUAACCAAUUUUUCAGACAUUUGUGAACAAAAUGAAGCAUGUUUAGAGAUCCUUAAUACAGGUGUACGAAAUGAUGGAUAAAUAAGUUUGUGAAACAAAUUUCACCAUACCUAACCCCACAAUUAUUUGCGGUCGAAUUUCCUCGUCACAGGAAAAAGAGAUGAUGACAAAAGGGAAAAAAUUAAUUAACAAAGUAGAAGAUGCAUGACAACUGUAAAAGAAAAAUAAUGCUACUAAUUAAAUAGUCCAAACUUCAUACGUUUCAUAUCAUAAGUGGCAGUUCUAUUUUUUUUUUUGCGAAUGUGAACAAAAUAACGAAUAAUUUUUAAAGUAAUAGUAAUAAGGAGAUGUGUUUUGACAGAAAACGACAUGAGCGGCCUAAAAAUAAGAGGGAAAAAGAUAAUCAUAUAAAUAUUCAAAAUCAAACGGAUUGGCAUGUAUUCAUCAUUUUUUAUUUUUUAUUUUGAUAAUUUAACAGUACUCCCUCCGUCCGUCAAAAGUAGACCACUUUGGUUGGGCACGGGAUUUAAUAAAAUUAGUGAUGAUUUUGAUGUAGUAGAGAAAGAGUUCCACCACUUUAUGAGAUGUGUGGUUGAGAUUGAAUUUGUUGUGAUUUUUUUGUAAAUAAAGAGUGUUUGUAAGGAUAAAAGAUUAAAGUGGGUGGUGGGACCAUUUCCAUAAAAGGAAAGUGGUCUACUAUUUGCGGACGCCCAAUAUAGUAAAAGUAGUCUACUUUUGGCGGACGGGGAGAGUAUUAAAUAAAUAAAUUUAAAGGUUGCACCCCUUACUGCUUGGCUUUUAGAUUAUGUUAUAAUAAUAAAAUUAACAGCACGUUUACAAUAUAAAAUUAAUUAUGAUAAAUACAAUAUAUUAAUAAUAAAUACUCAAUUACCUCUUAACAUAAUUCGCGCAUCAUGGCUUUUAGCUUAUAUUAUAAAGAUAUAAUAUGUUGUCUAUAAUAAUCGACGGAAGGUAAUAGACAACAUGUUUUAUAUGUUGUCUAUAAUAAUAUAGACAGUAGAUCUAGUGUUAUAGAUAACAAUUAAUACUUGUUGUCUAUAUGAUGAUAGACACCAAAAAUCUCUGUUGUCUAUUCUAUGACAAAAAAAUUUAAAAAAAUUCUAAUAUAUUUACAUCCCUGUAUUACAAUACCAAUAUAUAUGAAAAAAUAAAAAUAAUUAAAAAUCAAAUAAUCAAACAAUACUUAUAAACCACUAAUACUCACAAUCAAAUAUUUACACAUCAACAACUGUAUUAUCUUUAAUUACGCCUUCAUUUAUCUAUUAAAAAAAAUCUCUAAUAAAAUCUCUAACUAACUCCGGUCAUCAUCUCUUGAAGGCUUAGAAAAUGUCCAAAUACAGCGGCACAUGCUCAUUAUUGUGUGAGCGAUGAGAACUUUGCGCUGAACCUAUAAAGUAACUAUACUUAACUGGUAAAGUAAUUGUAUCCCGUGAAUCUAAAGGAAGACUACACACGUUGAUAGAGUUUGAAAGAAAAGAAUAAAGAGAAUGAAAAUCCAAAGAAUUUGCUUCUUCCGUUGAACAAUCCCUACACAACAUUGAAAUAUCAAUGAAAAUAAUGGCUAUCGUAUACUCCCUCCAUCCAUGAAAGAACUUCAUAGGAGGGAGUGACACGGGUUUUAAGAAAAAAUAUUGUUAAGUGUAUUGAGAGUGGAUAAAAGGUAGUUGAGUGUAUUGGGAGUGGUGAAAAUGUGUUAUAGUUAAUAUUGAGAGUUGUGAAAAGUGAAAAGUAAGAGGAUUAUAAGUGGUGGGGUAUAGUCCAAAAAUAGGUAGGAAGUUCUUUUGUGGACGUCCCAAAAAGGAAAGAUAUGAAGUUCUUUCGUGGACGGAGGGAGUAUUAUUUUGCAGCAGCAACCACGUUUGAAAACUCGAUCCCUCUGUUCUUGAAUUUGUGAAAUUUCCGACUGAUUUAUUAGAUUCACCAUUUAUUUCAGUUUAAUUAGUCUAUAUAUAGAUAUUUCUUAUAUUAUUAAAUUGUUAACCUCAUGGUAGAUUUCAAGAUUUGAAAAUUCAACAAAGAGCUUGAGAAUUAUUGAGAUUGGAAGGGGAAGAUGAAACAUAAUUGGGUGAAAUUAGAAACCAAUUAAAGUCACAAGAUUGAACAAAAACAUAACUUAAAAACACAAAAUAAGCAAAUCGUAGAUGCAGUAUCUUGCAAGAAAAAGUUCAUAUUCCCAAGGCUAUGAUGAGCACGAAUUAGGGUGUGUCUGCAUUUUAUCCCUCUAAAUAGAGGAAUAACAAAAUUUUAUUCUUUAAAUGUUUGCUUUCUUAUCACACAUUCUACACAAACACCAUUUUUUCUUCCUUAUUUUCACUUCAAGGAGGANUAAUAUUAUCCCUCCAAUUUUGGUGUGAUAAUAUUAUCUCUUCUUGAAGUGAAAAUAAGGAAGAAAAAAUGGUAUUUGUGUAGGAUGUGGGAUAAGAAAGCAAACAUUUAAAGGUAUAAAUUUUUGUUAUUCCUCAUUUAGAGGAAUAAAAAGCAAACACACAUUAGAGUCUACUUACAAUUUAGGCGCAGGCUGUGCGAGAAUUACUUAGUCGAAUAGGAUCCUAAGUAUUUAUAUUUCUCAUGUUCUUGUGUAUUUUUUUACUGAUUCACUAUUGGAUUAACAAGAAUUAUCUUACUUUAAAUUUCUUGCUUUAAAAAAAAAAAAGAAUUAUCUUACUUCAUGUAUGGUAUGCCAACUGUUCGAUAAAGGUCCUUUUAGAAAUCUUCUAUUGAUUACCUUGCGAAGACCACAAAACUAGACACACCCAAAAGCAUUCUUGCAUAGUUUAUACAUAGAGAUGGCCGAUUGAUGAUCGUCUUAUUUGUAGACUUAACGCGAGCAGACUCGAUCGCUUAGUCCUUAUUGAUUUACGACACACAUGCUCACACACACACAUACACACAUCACAAAAUCACACAAAUUGACGGAUAAUGUUGCCGUUCAGCUCCUUCCUGAACCUCACCGCGGCAUUUUUCUGCACCAUAGUGGCCGUGAAAUACCACGAGACGAUGUCAUGGACGGCGACGUGUUGUCCGGUGGCGGCGGAUAGCCCGACCUGAACCUGCUGAGGAACAAAGUCGCUCAAAUCGUACUCAUAGUUGACAUCAAAUGUCUGCGAGCCGGCGGUGACUUUCACGGAGAUCAUCCUUGUGGCUCCGACGUAGUUGAUCCGCGCAGUCACCUGCUGCCCGAGUAUGGAGUUGUCGACCUUCGUCGUGUUGCUGGAUGCCCUAGAGCCGAAGUCGAUGCCGAUGUGGGGAUAGAGCGGAUCCCACGCGCCGUUGACGUAGGUGUCGAUUUCGACGGCGAAGACCGAGGGGCUGUUGCCGUUGGAGCCAAAGAUUCCGAGGUUGGCUCCGUUGGAGCCAGGGGGGAUGGUGGAACCGACGGGGGCAAUGAAGAAGGCGAGGCCGUCGGCAGGCUCGUUGUCGGCGCCCGGGGUGAUGAUGAAGUUCACAGUGGUUUCGAAGUCGACCUGCCCACCGGACUGCGAGAAUUGGACCGGGUUCGAGUGCAAGACGCGGCCGACUUGUGAGGGCUGUGCGUCUGUGAGGCGGAGGAAGGUGGAGUCCGUCGGGAAAUGGGCGCUGCCUUGAUAGAUGAGAUCUUUCGGCUGGUCGCCCCAGAAGUCGUAGGUGAAGGACGUCGUUUGGGACAACGCCGUGUUGGAAACGGCGAGGAGGAGGGCGAUGGAGGCGAGGAGAGGAGUUAAGGUUUGAACAAGCUGGUUGGCCAUGGCUUAAUUGAUUUAGAUUUAGAUUUAGAGAUGUGGUGGAUGAUGGUGGCCAGGUAUCGAUCUCUUGCACCUAUUUAUACUAGUAUGGUUCAUGCCUGUUAAUAAUUGUAUAUAUCAAUCAAUCAUCGUGCAUCUAUCCCAAAUUAUAUGUCUUAUUAUUCACUAAUUAGAUGGAAUAAAUCCUAAUUAGCAAUCUUAAAAUUACACCGCCAAUGAGGCCUUGCUCUAGUGGUAAAGCUGUGGCACCGAAUAACUUUUCUUUGUGAAAGGUCUUGGGUUCAAUCUCGCCUGCAUGCGGUGAUGUUUGUCCAUUUUAGAUGGUGUGGUAUUCUUGCCUGCGUGCGGUGUUGUAUUAUUUAGUCUUAGGCGUUCUUGCCUGUGUGCAUAUCACUGUGUGACAAUUAAAAGAAUGACUUUAAAAUAAAAGUUAAGCCUUAAAAAUUUAAUCUACAUUCAUAUAUAACUGAAAUUACAUGCAUGUCUAAUUUUUUUAAUAUCAUAACAAGAUAAGAUUUAUUAAAUAAUUCAGAUGCAUAAAUAAAAAGUUAAUCUAUAAACACAGUAUAGAUAUAUUAUCAAUGAUAGGCCGUGUAUAAGUCUUAAUCUGUAAAACUAUAUCAUCCCAGCCUUAAACGACUACCAUUCCUGCUUUCCCAGAGCAACCACACUGUUCCCACCCACAAAGCUUUAAGCAGUACAUGCAUGUCUAAAUAUUAUUUAUAAUUAUCAAUAACAAGAUUAAUGAUUCUAUAUCUCUAUGUUUAUACAUAUAUUCACGUAUGACAUAGUAUAUAUUAGCUAUUAAGUUAAAAACUAAUAAAAUACUACAGUUUUGCAUAGGAUAUAUAUUUAAUUAGUAGUAGGAUAGGACACGUGUAUUAAUUUUAAGGGCAAGUAAUCAAACUUUUGAAUGAUUCAUCAUGCUUAAAAAAAAAAAGAGACCUAGAUAGAUGAUUCAUCAGAUUCAAAAACAAGUAUAAAUAGACUUCGAGUUUGAAAUUUUAAUUAAUUUGCAACAACAAUUCAAACUGACUGUAUUAAGGUAAGUAGUUACAGAUUUCAUACACAUUAUAUGAUUUCGCGCACAUACGUAUGUAUAUAUAAAUAUUUUUUAAAAUCAUAUACUCCCUCCGUCCCCAAAAUAAGUUCCUCUUUGGGGACGGCACGGAUUUUAAGGAAAAGUGGUAAAGUGUAUUAAUAGUGGAGAAAAAUAUGUUAUAAUUAGUAUUGGAAGUUGUGAAAAGGUGAAAAAGUGUUAUAAUUAGUAUUGGGAGUGGUGAAAAAGUGAAAAGUAAGAAUAAAUAAAGUAUUAUUAGUGGUGGGGUAGUUGUCCAAAAAUGGAAAAAAAGAAAGAGGAACUUAUUUGGGGGACAUCCCAAAAUGGAAAAAGAGGAACUUAUUUCAGGGACGGAGGGAGUAUUAUAUAAUAAUUAUAUUUAAGUUUUAUAUUAUUCUUUAUAAACUAUUGUUCCAUUCUAUAUAAUUAGGUGUGGCACGACUAGGACGUAACUUUCGAUUGAAUUUCUCAAGUUAAUUUUCAAGUUCAAGUUUCAGGUGUGAGAUUUAUUUAAAUACAUGUCAUGAUUAUUCAUUGUCCAUUUUAAUAGUAUGUGUUUACCAUAUGUGUUAUGACGCAUAUUUUGAGGACAUCGCUAGGAGCCCAUAAAUAGGGUCCAGGACUUCACCGUCCUUGGAUUGCCACAAUGCGAUUUGAGGUUUAUUUUGAGGAUGUCGUCAGGGGCCCGUAAAUAGGGUCCAGGACUUUAAUAGUCAUUGGGUUGCCACAGUGCGAAUAUUGAAGAUAUAUAUGAAGUGACCGUAUGUGUUACCGUUUCAUUAACGUGGACAAUGAUUGCAUGUUUAAGAGACAAUAACCAAUUUUUCAGACAUUUGUGAACAAAAUGAAGCAUGUUUAGAGAUCCUUAAUAAAGGUGUACGAAAUGAUGGAUAAAUAAGUUUGUGAAACAAAUUUCACCAUACCUAACCCCACAAUUAUUUGCGGUCGAAUUUCCUCGUCACAGGAAAAAGAGAUGAUGACAAAAGGGCAAAAAUUAAUUAACAAAGUAGAAGAUGCAUGACAACUGUAAAAGAAAAAUAAUGCUACUAAUUAAAUAGUCCAAACUUCAUACGUUUCAUAUCAUAAGUGGCAGUUCUAUUUUUUUUUUGCGAAAGUGAACAAAAUAACGAAUAAUUUUUAAAGUAAUAGUAAUAAGGAGAUGUGUUUUGACAGAAAACGACAUGAGCGGCCUAAAAAUAAGAGGGAAAAAGAUAAUCAUAUAAAUAUGGGUUAAUUGCCUCUAAAUACACCACCUUUCCUUGAAUUCUACAAUUGCACAUCACCUUUAAAAUCCGCCCUUAAAUACACCACCUUUCCUUGAGUUCUACAAUUGCACAUCACCUUUAAAUCCGCCCCAAAAUACAUCAUCUUUAUAUUUUUUCUGUUUUUGCACAUGACUAAAAAAUUCUCAAGAAAUAAAUUAAAGUGUUAAUUUAUAAAUUUAAAUAUCUUUUUAGCAGCGAAAACAUAAUAAAAUAAAAUUCUUUAUAAAGUUUAAAAUCAUAUAUAUAUAUAUAUAUAUAUAAGUAUUUUCGUAAAGAAAUAAAUUCUCUAAUAAAUUUUUAGAAAGAACUUGAAUUAAAAAAAUAAACAAGUCAUGACAUUAAGAAAAUAAAAUGAAAUUUUUAUUUUAAUAAAUUUCACACGAAUUCGAUAUAAUUUGGAAUUUAGAGUUACAAUAAUCAGAAGUACCACAUGAAUAAUAUAAUGAGUUUGAAAGAAAUUUUUUUUAAAGAGGUUCGACACGCCCAUUCGACUUUCCACGCGCCUCCAAUGUCAUUUACCUGAAAUAUUAANUAUAUAAGUAUUUUUCGUAAAGAAAUAAAUUCUCUAAUAAAUUUUUAGAAAGAACUUGAUUAAAAAAUAAACAAGACAUGACAUUAAGAAAAUAAAAUGAAACUUUUAUUUUAAUAAAUUUCACACGAAUUCGAUAUAAUUUGGAAUUUAGAGUUACAAUAAUAAAAAGAACCACAUAAAUAAUAUAAUCAGUUUGAAAGAAAUAUAUAUAUAUUUUUUUAAAGAGGUUCGACGCGCCCAUUCGACUCUCCACGCGCUACCAAUGUCAUUACCUGAAAUACUAAAUAUGGGAUAAGCAUACAUAAUAUACUUAGUGUGGGAACAUGCAAUUAUUGUCCACGUUAAUAAAAUAGUAACACAUACGAUCAUAACAUUCAAAACGACACAAUUUUGCCAAUAUGGAAGCCACGUCAUUUAAAGUGGUAACACCCUAAUCUAACUAAAGUGUUAAAUAUAAAUUUAAAGCGGAAAUAUAAUAAAAUAAAGUUCUUUAUAAAAAUAAAUAAAGAAUUUUAUUUUAUUAUAUUUCCGCUGCUAAAAAAGAUAUUUAAAAUUUAUAAAUUAACACUUUAAUUUAUUUCUUGAGGAUUUUUAAGUCAUGUGCAAAAACAGAAAAAAAAUAUAAAGGUGAUGUAUUUUGGGGCGGAUUUAGAAUUCAAGGAAAUGUGGUGUAUUUAGGGGCGGAUUUUAAAGGUGAUGUGCAAUUGUAGAAUUCAAGGAAAGGUGGUGUAUUUAGGGGAAAUUAACCCUAUAAAUAUUCAAAAUCAAACGGAUUGGCAUGUAUUCAUCAUUUUUUAUUUUUUAUUUUGAUAAUUUAACAGUAUUAAAUAAAGAAAUUUAUAGGCUGCGUCCCUUACUGCUUGGCUUUUAGAUUAUGUUGUAAUAAUAAAAUUAAAAGCACGUUUACAAUAUAAAAUUAAUUAUGAUAAAUACAAUAUAUUAAUAAUAAAUACUCAAUUACCUCUUAACAUAAUUCGCGCAUCAUGGCUUUUAGCUUAUAUUAUAAAGAUAUAAUAUGUUGUCUAUAAUAAUCGACGGAAGGUAAUAGACAACAUGUUUUACUUCUUGUCUAUAAUAAUAUAGACAGUAGAUCUAGUGUUAUAGAUAACAAUUAAUACGUGUUGUCUAUAUGAUGAUAGACACCAAAAAUCUCUGUUGUCUAUUCUAUGACAAAAAAAUUUAAAAAAAUUCUAAUAUAUUUACAUCCCUGUAUUACAAUACCAAUAUAUAUGAAAAAAUAAAAAUAAUUAAAAAUCAAAUAAUCAAACAAUACUUAUAAACCACUAAUACUCACAAUCAAAUAUUUACACAUCAACAAUUGUAUUAUCUUUAAUUACGCCUUCAUUUAUCUACUAAAAAAAAUCUCUAAUAAAAUCUCUAACUAACUCCGGUCAUCAUCUCUUGAAGGCUUAGAAAAUGUCCAAAUACAGCGGCACAUGCUCAUUAUUGUGUGAGCGAUGAGAACUUUGCGCUGAACCUAUAAAGUAACUAUACUUAACUGGUAAAGUAAUUGUAUCCCGUGAAUCUAAAGGAAGAAUAAACACGUUGAUAGAGUUUGAAAGAAAAGAAUAAAGAGAAUGAAAAUCCAAAGAAUUUGCUUCUUCCGUUGAACAAUCCCUACACAACGUUGAAAUAUCAAUGAAAACAAUGGCUAUCCUAUACUCCCUCCAUCCAUGAAAGAACUUCCUAGGAGGGAGUGACACGGGUUUUAAGAAAAAAUAUUGUUAAGUGUAUUGAGAGUGGAUAAAAGGUAGUUGAGUGUAUUGGGAGUGGUGAAAAUGUGUUAUAGUUAAUAUUGAGAGUUGUGAAAAGUGAAAAGUAAGAGGAUUAUAAGUGGUGGGGUAUAGUCCAAAAAUAGGUAGGAAGUUCUUUUGUGGACGUCCCAAAAAGGAAAGAUAUGAAGUUCUUUCGUGGACGGAGGGAGUAUUAUUUUGCAGCAGCAACCACGUUUAAAAACUCGAUCCCUCUAUUCUUGAAUUUGUGAAAUUUCCGACUGAUUUAUUAGAUUCACCAUUUAUUUCAGUUUAAUUAGUCUAUAUAUAGAUAUUUCUUAUAUUAUUAAAUUGUUAACCUCAUGGUAGAUUUCAAGAUUUGAAAAUUCAACAAAGAGCUUGAGAAUUAUAGAGAUUGGAAGGGGAAGAUGAAACAUAGUUGGGUGAAAUUAGAAACCAAUUAAAGUCAGGAGAUUGAAGAAAAACAUAACUUAAAAACACAAAAUAAGCAAAUCGUAGAUGCAGUAUCUUGCAAGAAAAAGUUCAUAUUCCCAAGGCUAUGAUGAGCACGAAUUAGGGUGUGUCUGCAUUUUAUCCCUCUAAAUGGAGGAAUAAUAAAAUUUUAUGCCUUUAAAUGUUUGCUUUCUUAUCACACAUUCUAAACAAACACCAUUUUUUCUUCCUUAUUUUCACUUCAAUGAGGGAUAAUAUUAUCCCUCCAAUUUUGGUGUGAUAAUAUUAUCCCUCCUACAAGUGAAAAUAAGGAAGAAAAAAUGGUACUCCCUUCGUCCCAAACGAAAUGUCCUGUUUUCCUUUUUGGGCUGUCCCAAACGAAAUGUCCUGUUUCCUUUUUUGGCAAUACACUCUCUCUCUAUACUUAAUAUUUAAAUAAUUUUCACCAACCCACUUUAUCUACUUUAUACACAUUUCUUAAUCUCCGUGCCGAAAAGAAAUGGGACAUUUCGUUUGGGACGGAGGGAGUAUUUGUGUAGGAUGUGGGAUAAGAAAACAAACAUUUAAAGACAUAAAUUUUUGUUAUUCCUCCAUUUAGAGGGAUAAAAAGCAAACACACCUUAGAGUCUAAUUACAAUUUAGGCGCAGGCUGUGUGAGAAUUACUUAGUCGAAUAGGAUCCUUAGUAUUUAUAUUUCUCAUGUUCUUGUGUAUUUUUUCACUGAUUCACUAUUGGAUUAACAAGAAUUAUCUUACUUUAAAAAAAAAAAAGAAAUGAUCUUACUUCAUGUAUGGUAUGCCAACUGUUCGAUAAAGGUCCUUUUAGAAAUAUUCCAUAGAUUACCUUGCAAAGACCACAAAACUAGACACACCCUGCAUAGUUUAUACAUAGGGAUGGCCGAUUGAUGAUCGUCUUAUUUGUAGACUUAACGAGAGCAGACUCGAUCGCUUAGUCCUUACUGAUUUACGACACACAUGCACACAUACACAGAUACACACAUCACAAAAUCACGCAAAUUGACGGAUAAUGUUGCCGGCCAGCUCCUUCCUGCUCCACGCCACGGCAUUUUUCUGCACCAUGGUGGCCGUGAAAUACCACGAGACGAUGUCAUGGGUGGCGACGUGUUGUCCGGUGGCGGCGGAUAGCCCGACCUGAACCUCCUGAGCAACAAAGUAGCUCAAAUCGUACUCAUAGCUGACAUCAAACGUCUGAUUGCCGGCGGUGACUUUGACGGAGAUCAUCCUUGUGGCUCCGACGUAGUUGAUCCGCGCAGUUACCUGCUGCUUGAGUAUGGAGCUGUCGACCGGCGUCGUCUUGCUGGAUACCCUAGAGCCGAAGUCGAUGCCGAUGUGGGGAUAGAGCGGAUCCCACGCGCCGUUGACGUAGGUGUCGAUUUCAACGGCGAAGACCCCGGGGCUGUUGCCGUUGGAGCCAAAGAUUCCGAGAUUGGCUCCGUCGGAGCCAGGGGGGAUGGUGGAGUCGACGGGGGCAAUGAAGAAGGCGAGGCCGUCGGCAGGCUCGUUGUCGGCGCCGGGGGUGAUGAUGAAGUUCACGGUGGUUUCGAAGUCGACCUGCCCAUUGGACAUCCAGAAUUGGACCGGUUCCGAGUACAUGACGCGGCCGACUUGGGACGGUUGUGCGUCUGUGAGGCGGAGGAAGGUGGAGUCCGUCGGGAAAUGGGCGUUGCCUUGAUAGAUGAGAUCUUUCGGCUGGUCGCCCCAGAAGUCGAAGGUGAACGACGUCGUUUGGGACAACGCCGUGUUGGAAACGGCGAGGAGGAGGGCGAUGGAGGCGAGGAGAGGAGUUAAGUUGGCCAUGGCUUAAUAGAUUUAGAUUUAGAGAUGUGGUGGAUGAUGGUGGUAUCGAUCUGUUGCACCUAUUUAUACUAGUAUGGUUCAUGCCUGAUAAUAAUUGUAUCAAUCAAUCAUCGUGCAUCUAUCCCAAAUUAUAUGUCUUAUUAUUCACUAAUUAGAUGGAAUAAAUCCUAAUUUGCAAUCUUAAAAUUAAACCGCCAAUGAGGCCUUGCUCUAGUAGCAAAGCUGUGGCACCCAAUAACUUUUCUUUGUGAAAGGUCUUGGGUUCAAUCUCGCCUGCAUGCGGUGAUGUUUGCCCACUUUAGGUGGUGUGGUAUUCUCGCCUGCGUGCGGUGUUAUAUUGUUUAGUGUUAAGGUCCCACAUGCAGGGCGUUCUUGCAUGUGUGCGUGUCACAACCCAAAACCAUUUAUUUUCUUUACAAAUUUUAUAUGAAAAUUAUUUGAUUUUUAAGUUAUAGAGUUUUCGAUAUAUAUACAUAUAGUGUCAAUUUUAUGUUAACUUAGUCGUGUCCCUAAUUAAAAGAAUGAAUUUGAAAUAAAAGUUAAGCCUUAAAAAUUUAAUCUACAUUCAUAUAUAACUGAAAUUACAUGCAUGUCUAAAUAUUAUUUAUAAUUAUCAAUAACGGGAUUAAUGAUUCUAUAUCUCUAUGUUUAUACAUAUAUUCACGUAUGACAUAGUAUAUAUUAGCUAUUAAGUUAAAUAAAAUACUACAGUUUUGCAUAGGAUAUAUAUUUAAUUAGUAGUAGGAUAGGACACGUGUAUUAAUUUUAAGGGCAAGUAAUCAAACUUUUGAAUGAUUCAUCAUGCUUAAAAAAAAGAGACCUAGAUAGAUGAUUCAUCAGAUUCAAAAACAAGUAUAAAUAGACUUCGAGUUUGAAAUUUUAAUUAAUUUGCAACAACCAUUCAAACUGACUGUAUUAAGGUAAGUAGUUACAGAUUUCAUACACAUUAUAUGAUUUCGCGCACAUACGUAUGUAUAUAUAAAUAUUUUUUAAAAUCAUAUAUUAUAUAAUAAUUAUAUUUAAGUUUUAUAUUAUUCUUUAUAAACUAUUGUUCCAUUCUAUAUAAUUAGGUGUGGCAUGACUAGGACGUAACUUUCGAUUGAAUUUCUCAAGUUAAUCUUCAAGUUCAAGUUUCAGGUGUGGGAUUUAUUUAAAUACAUGUCGUGGUUAUUUAUUAUCCAUUUUAAUAAUAUGUGUUUACCAUAUGUGUUAUGAUGCAUAUUUUGAGGAUAUCGCUAGGGGCCCAUAAAUAGGGUCCAGGACUUCACCGUCCUUGGAUUGCCACAAUGCAAUUUGAGGUUUAUUUUGAGGAUGUCGUCAGGGAUCCGUAAAUAGGGUCCAGGACUUUAAUAGUCCUUGGGUUGCCACAGUGCGAAUAUAUUGAGGAUAUAUAUGAAGUGACCGUAUGUGUUACCGUUUCAUUAACGUGGACAAUGAUUGCUUGUUCUCACACUGAGUGUACUCUGUAUGCUCAUCCCAUAUUUAACGUGGAAGGUCGAUUGACGAAUCAAAUAUUUUGUAUUUAGCUUUACCUAAAUAUGUUAUUUUGAGUAAAGUAUUUUAAAUAAAAAUUUAUUUCAUAAUUUUCUCAUUAAAUAUUUAUUUAUAUUCAUAGCUUUUCCGCACAAAUAUUUAUUUAAAUUUUAAUUAGAUUUGGGUGUCACUGUGCGGUGAUGUUUUUCCACCGUUUCGGUGGUGGUGAGGCCCCACCUGCGUGCACGUUAUAUACUUGAUUAUAUUCAGAUACCUCUUGUAAUUUUUAAAAAAAUAAUCAUAAAAUUAAACCAAAGCAUAUAAAAUUGAAAUUGGCCAAAAAAAUAUAUAAAAAUAAAUAAAAUUAAAAAUGGGAUAUAAAGUGAGACAUUAAAUGUGGUACACUACUGAAUCUCAAUCCAACACGUGGAUGCUACAUUGUACUUGUCGGAAUAUUAGAACUUCUACAAAAUAUUGCUAUUGGAAACGUGAAAUUUUAUUAUGAGAAAACUUAUACCUGACCCCACAGUCGUGGGCACGUGUUAUGUUGCGCGGAAAUUAAAGUGGUGGGGACCGUAAAUGGUAUUUUAGUCUUUUAAUUUAUUUUAGUAUACAAAAGAGUUAAUUUUAAAGAGGCGCUAAAAAACACAUCACUUUUAAAAAUUGGUAUUUAAAAUCUUGAACCCCUUUUAUUAUUUUAGAAAGAUAUUAAUUAAUUGAUAAAUUAAUAAAUUAUUAAUUGAAACAAUUAUUUUAAGCAAAUUUAAUUAUAAUUACCUAAAAAUUUAAAAAACAUAAAUUCAAUACCAUUCAAAUUCAACAAACUAACUUAAAUUUUUACUUUAAAAAAUCUUCAUCAAUCUUGCAAUCUCGGCUUGGACUAUAAAUGUUCAACAAGAGACAAUAACCAAUUUUUCAGACAUUUGUGAACAAAAUGAAGCAUGUUUAGAGAUCCUUAAUAAAGGUGUACGAAAUGAUGGAUAAAUAAGUUUGUGAAAAUUUCACCAUACCUAACCCCACAAUUAUUUGCGAUCGAAUAUCCUCGUCACAGGAAAAAGAGAUGAUGACAAAAGGGAAAAAAAAAUUAACAAAGUAGAAGAUGCAUGACAACUGUCAAGAUAAAUAAUGUUACUAAUUAAAUAAUCCAAACUUUAUACGUUUCAUAUCAUAAGUGGCAGUUCUAUAUUUUUUGCGAAAGUGAACAAAAUAACGAAUAAUUUUUAAAGUAAUAGUAAAAGGAGAUGUGUUUUGACAGAAAACGACAUGAGCGGCCUAAAAAUAAGAGGGAAAAAGAUAAUCAUAUAAAUAUUCAAAAUCAAACGGAUUGGCAUGUAUUCAUCAUUUUUUAUUUUAAUAAUUUAACAGUAUUAAAUCAAGAAAUUUAAAGACCGCGCCCCUUACUGCUUGGCUUUAAGAUUAUGUUACAAUAAUAAAAUUAACAGCACGUUUACAAUAUAAAAUUAAUUAUGAUAAAUGCAAUAUAUUAAUAAUAAAUACUCAAUUACCUCUUAACAUAAUUCGCGCAUCAUGGCUUUUAGCUUAUGUUAUAAAGAUGGAGUAUAAAAUAAUCAUCACCUGUGCAUGAUAUUUCACAAAAUAAUUAAAUAAUAAAAUAAUCAAUCAUAAUGCCAAGACGUGACUCUUGUCGGUCAUAUCUCAUCAACUUUAUCUAUAUAGUACAAUGAUGAUUAAUUUGAGAACGACGAUUAAGACACCAACUAUUCUUGUGGGGACACAUGCAUAUAUAGAAUUAAUAUUAUAAACUCUCUCGGUCCACGAAAUAACUUACUAUUUUUUCUUUUAAGAACGUGAACAAAAAAAAUUCCCAUCGAUAUUUCGGAACUAUACCCCACUACUUUAAAAUACCUCAUUUUACCCUUUCUUUUUCACAAAAACAACAAAUUACUAAUAAUUUUUCACUAUUCCUAAUAUACUGAACAAUUUUUCUCCACUCUCAAAUUUUGUAGCACCGAAUAAAAUUAAAUACUAGUAUUAUUUUUUGUAGAACUAUAAAUAAAUAUUAUUCUCAAAACAUGUACUAUUACUUACUAUUUUUUUUAAAUGUGGGACGACCAAAAAAGGAAAGAUGAAUUCUAAAAGCUGGGACAGAGGAUAUAUUAUUUUUCUUCUUGGUUCUGAAGUAUGAAUAUUAAUUAACAAUUCUUCGUCCACAUCAAGCUCACCUUCACGUAAUUUUUUCUUGAACAACACCGAAAAAUAUAUAAUCCCAACAUAGCAUGAUCAAUCUCAAUGCACCAAACAUAAAUUAGUUUUAAAAUAAUAAUAAGAUUAACUACUAUAUUGCUGAAUUAUGCAGUAGAAUUAAAAGCGUGAUUUUUUUUUAAUAGAGCAGGUUAAUCUAGGCCUACCUGAACCAUCUGACUAUGCAUGAGUUUGAUUUUUCUUCUUGAUCUUUUUUAAUUUUACCGACAAAGAAGAUUUUCACAAAUGAAAAGAAAACGUUCUAGUAACAUACUACAUGCUUACUUCAGAUUUGCAACCAAGUCUAUUGAGGGUUUUAUUUGCUACAUAUAUAAACACAAGGAUUUGGUUUGAUACAAAUUAAGAAUAUUCAACUUUCAUCGGCUCAAGCACAUAGAAUCUCCCCGAGUAGUUAUAACUGGUCAAUGUUUUUGCCGAUAAAAAGGAAAAGGAAAGAAAAAAGAAAGAAGCAAGACGGAGAAAAAGUUGUAGUAAAUGAUUAUGCGAUGAAAAGAAAAUGGAAAAGAGAAAGAAAGAAGAAAGUUGUAGGAAUUUUGAAGAAUUUGUACUUAUUUAGAAUUGUGGUUAUUGUGGGAUCUUGUAUAAUAAUAAUAAUAAUAAUAAUAAUAAUAAUAAUAAUUAUUGGGCCGUUCCACGAAUCUUGGCACAUUUUCAAAUAAGGUAAUAAUUCAUUCUCUCUCUUACUUUAUCACUUUAAUACUUUAUUAACUACAAACUUAAAACACUAAUAUACAAUUCCUUAAUUCCCGUGUCGAAACCAAACGUGUCAAGAUUCGUUGGAUGGAGGGAGUAAUAAUAAUAAUAAUAAUAAUAGUAAUAAUAAUAAUAAUAAUAAUAAUAAUACAUCAUUGCCCUUUAAAAAGUUUUAAAAUAGGAACAUAAUAUGUAAAUCUAAUUUUGUAAAAGAAGCUCUUCUAUAGUAAUAGUUAUAGAUUUGGUGUGGAGGCAUUUGUUUGAGAAUGGGUAAAACAUACCAUUAACCCUUUGAUAUAUGCACGAGACACUUAUUUGUGGAUAGGACAAGAAUUAUUUUGUUGCAUAGGAUCCCUUCCAAAUGUAAUUACUGAUUCACAAUUGGAUUAACAAGAAUUAACUUACUUCAUAUUCAGUAUUCCAACUGUUCGAUAAAAGUUCUUAAUGAAAUCUUCCAUAGAUUACCCAAAUGCAUUGUUUUGCAUAGUCCGUACAUUGAGAUGGUCGAGUAUCUUAUGUCUAGACUUAACGAGAGCAGACUCGAUCGCUUAGUCCUUAUUUAUUUACGACACACACACAUCUCAAAAUCACACAAAUUGACGAAUAAUGUUGCCAGCCAGCUCCUUCCUGUUCCACGCGCCAGCAUUUGUCUUCACCAUGGUGGCUGUGAAAUACCAUGAGAUAAUAUCAUGUUUGGCGACGUAUGGUUGGUUUAGUCCGCUGGCGGCGGAGAGCCCUACCUGAACCUGCUCAGGAAGAAACUCGCCCAAAUUGUACACAUGGCUGACCUCAAACGUCUUCGAGCCGGCGGUGGCACUGACGGUGAUCAUCUUCGUGGCUCCGACGUAGUUGAUCCGCGCAGUCACCUGCUGUCCGACUAUGGCGUCUCCGACAUUCGUCGUGUUGCUGGAUUCCCUAGAUCCGAGGUCGAUGCCGAUGUGGGGAUAGUUCGGAUCCCACGGGCUGUUGAUGAAGGUGUCGAACUCGACGGCGAAGACCGAGGGGCUAUUGCCGUUGGAGCCGAAAAUUCCGAGGUUGGCCCCAACAGCGCCACUGGGGAUGGUGGAGCCGACGGGGGCAAUGAAGAAAGCGAGGCCGUCAGCGGUUUUGCCAUCGGGGCUGGGUGUGAUGAUGAAGUUAAUGGUGGUUUCAAAGUCGACUUGGCCACCGGAUUGGGAGAACUGGACCGGCUUCGAGUACAAGACCCGGCCGACCUGGUAUGUCUCGAAGUCGGUGAGGCGGAGGAAGGUGGAGUCCGAUGGGAAAUGGGCGUGGCCUUGGUAGGUGAGAUCGGUCGGCUGGUCGCCCCAGAAGUCGUAGGUGAAGGACGUUGUUUGGGACCACACCGUGUUGGCAGCGGCGGCAAGGAGAAGGGCGAUGGAGAUUAGGGUUUGUUGAAGGUUGGCCAUCGCUUAAUUGAUUUGGAUGUGGUGGAUGAUGGUGGUAUCUUUAUCUUGCUUCUAUUUAUAGUAGUAUAACGAGCCCUAGUUAAUUAUCUUUAAAUCAUACUAAAAUAUCAUAAAUUAAAAUUGAAGAAAAAAAAGUUAAAACCUACUCUCGCAGUCCCUCAAAUAACUUCUUAGGAGAAGAGGGGUAGGAGUUUUAAGACGAAGUUAAUGUGCAAAGUAAGGAUAAA
rnacentral:lncRNA from 1 species